GCCACCUUUUCUAUUUUUAUGUUUCUCUAUUUUUUUCUUUUGUUUCUUUUUUCGUGUGUAUGUGUGUGUAUGUGGAUAUGGGGCGUGUGUGUGCUUGUAUGUGUGUGCACUCAUGUAGAUGCACACGUGCAUGUCGUGCUUGUGGGCGAAUGCACGUUGUGUGUAUGCGCACGCACAUGUAAUAUUAAUAUGAGAUGCAAUUCAUCUUUGAUGUAUUCGUGCAUAUACAUUCUGAGGCGAUGUCAUCGACAUAAGUAAGAUAAUUAAUCUCCUACAUACACAUGCAGGUCAUAUAUAAUAUGUGUGCCAAUUUCGUUGGAGUCCAAAAAAUUAAACUAUUAUAUGCAUAUUCUUGCAUAUUGUGAAAAUGUGAAUUUUCUGUUCAAAUGUGUGCAAUUUUUUCUCCUCAUUUUUUUCAUUAAAGGUAAGACCAAUACCUUAAAUUCAUUAUUCCUAAAAAAACUUGAGUCCUUGAUUUUGUUUUAGUUAUUAUCAUAAAAUACUGGUUUAUUUUGUGACUCUAAUUAAAAUAUCGUUUUUAAAAGCAAAAAUAAUAAUAACCUAAAGAUUCCUAAUAUAAUAUGUUAGGAUUAAUUCCUUCUUAUAUUCCUAUAUUAAUUUUUAAAAUUAUUUUGUAUGUAUGUAUAGUGUAUGGAUAGACAAUGUUUUGCAUGCAUAGUGGACGAGAUGAUUCGGUGCCCAGCCUCAGCUGCACCCCAGAUGAACAGAAAAUACAAAAAAAAACUAGAGAAAUUAAAAAAAAUCUGAUUUUUUUGCAUAGUUGAUAAUUUGUUGCAUGAGGUGCGCUCAAAAUUUUAAAUUAUUUGGACAACUGAGUAUAUCUCGGCAAAAAAGACAAGUUUGGGGUCUAUGAAAAAGUUUACUCGUCAUGUAUUGUUCUGACACAAUUUUUCUUUUUUGUUGAGAGCUACUCAUAUGUCCAAGUGAUCUGAAAUUUGAAACGCACCUCACGCACCAAAUUAUAUUCCAUGCAAAAAAAAUCAGAUUUUUUUAAUUUUUAAAUGUUUUUGUGAAUUUUCUGUUUAUCGGGUUAGAUGAGUCUGGGCACAAAAAUGGAUAUUUGGUGUAUGCAUGCAUACAGAACUAGUUCCAGCAAGUAGAUUAGAUAAUGUGUGUUUGACUCUCUUUUUAAAGUUUGUUUUUUCAUCAUUCCAUUUGAGUUUUUUCUUCAUUUUCUUUUUAUUUUAGGUAAUAUCAAUGCUCUUAAGUCAUUUCAACUAAGAAUAAUAUUUUGCUUUCUUUAAUUGUAUCUUUGUAUGCUUAGUUGAUUUUCUAGUCGUUGGAUUUUCCCUCUAUAGCAUGCGGCGAUGUACUUGAUGUUGGAAUCCUUUGACACUACUCGAUUUUCUAUUAGGAACUUAAAAUGGAAUUCAUUUUUUGCAAAAUAUCUCGUCAAAUCAAUAAAAAGUUGUUUUAUUAUGUAUUUUUACCGAUGCUUAGUCGACUUUUUGGUUGUCGGAUACUUCCCCUACAGUUGUGCAUGUGACAACUUAUUAAUUCUACAAUUGUGUGACACUACUGAUAUUUUGCUAGAAACUUAAAUGGAAUCCUUUUUUGUGUUUACCUGCUUUCAAUCAUGAUUAUUAUUAAUUAUAUGCAGUAGUAGACACUUUUUCUUGAUCACUACCGAAUUGUGCAAGUUUUGCAUGUUUUGUGUGCAAGCUUCUAUUACAUUUUGAUUCCCCCAUAUAAGAAAAAAGUUUCAUAACAAGUCUUUAUGCAUGUUAGAAAUAUUUGCAUAAUACUCCUCACAUUUAUGUUUACUACGCUUAUUAGUUUUGUCAUAAGUCAAACUUUAUGAAGUUUGACCAAGCUUAUAGAAAAGAAUAUUGAAAUUCAAAAUACAAGUUUAUUUCAUUUGUCUUCCUUCUUUAGGGUAAUACCACUGGCCUUAAUUAAUUAUUUCUUAAGAAAGUUAUGUUUUUUAUUUGCUUUAGUUUUUGUACUAGCACAAAUUUUGUUUGACCAUGUCGUUGUGUUUAUCUUAAUUCCUCACCAUAAAGCCCAUAGGGUAAGAAUAAUGGAGAAAUCUGAUAUGAACAACGUAAUUUAUCGUUUGAUUUUAAUUUAGAAAAAUUCGUGUAUAUUGUAUUUUGUUGUUUGAACUCUAAGUAUGGCAUCAAUCAAUACAUACAAGUUAUAUGCAAUGUAUGUGCAAAAUCAUAUUGUUGUUUGAAAGUUACACUAGUAUAUGUUGGAAAUAUGCCCUAGAGGCAAUAAUAAAUGGUUAUUAUUAUAUUUCCUUGUUCAUGAUAAUUGUCUAUUGUUCAUGCUAUAAUUGUGUUAUCCGGAAAUCGUAAUACAUGUGUGAAUAGAUAGACCACAACGUGUCCCUAGUAAGCCUCUAGUUGACUAGCUCGUUGAUCAACAGAUAGUCAUGGUUUCCUGACUAUGGACAUUGGAUGUCAUUGAUAACGGGAUCACAUCAUUAGGAGAAUGAUGUGAUGGACAAGACCCAAUCCUAAGCAUAGCACAAAAGAUCGUCUAGUUCGUUUGCUAGAGCUUUUCCAAUGUCAAGUAUCAUUUCCUUAGACCAUGAGAUCGUGCAACUCCCAGAUGCCGUAGGAGUGCUUUGGGUGUGCCAAACGUCACAACGUAACUGGGUGACUAUAAAGGUACACUACGGGUAUCUCCGAAAGUGUCUGUUGAGUUGGCACGGAUCGAGACUGGGUUAUGUCACUCCGUAUGACGGAGAGGUAUCUCUAGGCCCACUCGGUAAUGCAUCAUCAUAAUGAGCUCAAUGUGACAAAGGAGUUAGCCACGGGAUCAUGCAUUACGGUACGAGUAAAGUGACUUGCCGGUAACGAGAUUGAACAAGGUAUUGGGAUACCGACGAUCGAAUCUCGAGCAAGUAACGUACCGAUUGACAAAGGGAAUUGUAUACGGGAUUGAUUGAAUCCUCGACAUCGUGGUUCAUCCGAUGAGAUCAUCGUGGAACAUGUGGGAGCCAACAUGGGUAUCCAGAUCCCGCUGUUGGUUAGACCGGAGAGGCGUCUCGGUCAUGUCUGCAUGUCUCCCGAACCCGUAGGGUCUACACACUUAAGGUUCGGUGACGCUAGGGUUGUAGAGAUAUUAGUAUGCGGAAACCCGAAAGUUGUUCGGAGUCCCGGAUGAGAUCCCGGACAUCACGAGGAGUUCCGGAAUGGUCCGGAGGUGAAGAAUUAUAUAUAGGAAGUCCAGUUUCGGCCACCGGGAAAGUUUCGGGGGUUAUCGGUAUUGUACCGGGACCACCGGAAGGGUCCCGGGGGUCCACCGGGUGGGGCCACCUGUCCCGGAGGGCCCCAUGGGCUGAAGUGGGAGGGGAACCAGCCCCUAGUGGGCUGGGGUGCCCCCCUUGGGCCUCCCCCUGCGCCUAGGGUUGGAAACCCUAGGGGUGGGGGGCGCCCCACUUGGCUUGGGGGGCAAGCCACCCCCNNNNNNNNNNNNNNNNNNNNNNNNNNNNNNNNNNNNNNNNNNNNNNNNNNNNNNNNNNNNNNNNNNNNNNNNNNNNNNNNNNNNNNNNNNNNNNNNNNNNNNNNNNNNNNNNNNNNNNNNNNNNNNNNNNNNNNNNNNNNNNNNNNNNNNNNNNNNNNNNNNNNNNNNNNNNNNNNNNNNNNNNNNNNNNNNNNNNNNNNNNNNNNGCCCCCAGGGCCCCUAUAAAUAGUGGGGGGAGGGAGGGCAGCAGCACCACAGCCCCUGGCGCCUCCCUCUCCCCCUGCAACACCUCUCCUCCCCGCUUGCGCUUGGCGAAGCCCUACCGGGAUCCCCGCUACUUCCACCACCACAUCGUCGUUCUGCUGGAUCUCCAUCCACCUCUCCUUCCCCCUUGCUGGAUCAAGAAGGAGGAGACGUCGCUGCUCCGUAUGUGUGUUGAACGCGGAGGUGCCGUCCGUUCGGCGCUCGGUCAUCGGUGAUUUGGAUCACGGCGAGUAUGACUCCAUCAUCCCCGUUCACUUGAACGCUUCCGCUCGCGAUCUACAAGGGUAUGUAGAUGCACUCCUUUCCUCUCGUUGCUAGUGUACUCCAUAGAUGGAUCUUGGUGAUGCGUAGAAAAUUUUAAAAUUCUGCUACGAUCCCCAACAGUGGUAUCAGAGCCAGGCCUAUGCGUAGUUACUAUGCACGAGUAGAACACAAAGAAGUUGUGGGCGUAGAUGUUGUCAAUUUUUCUUGCCACUACUAGUCUUAUCUUGUUUCGGCGGCAUUGUGGGAUGAAGCGGCCCGGACCGACCUUACACGUACGCUUACGUGAGACAGGUUCCACCGACUGACAUGCACUAGUUGCAUAAGGUGGCUAGCGGGUGUCUGUCUCUCCCACUUUAGUCGGAACGGAUUCGAUGAAAAGGGUCCUUAUGAAGGGUAAAUAGAAAUUGGUAUAUCACGUUGUGGUUUUACGUAGGUAAGAAACGUUCUUGCUAGAAACCUAUAGAAGCCACGUAAAAACUGGCAACAACAAUUAGAGGACGUCUAACUUGUUUUUGCAGCAUGUGCCUUAUGAUGUGAUAUGGCCAGAAGAUGUGAUGAAUGAUAUAUGUGAUGUAUGAGAUUGAUCAUAUUCUUGUAAUAGGAAUCACGACUUGCAUGUCGAUGAGUAUGACAACCGGCAGGAGCCAUAGGAGUUGUCUUUAUUUUUUGUAUGACCUGCGUGUCAUUGAAUAACGCCAUGUAAAUUACUUUACUUUAUUGCUAAACGCGUUAGCCAUAGAAGUAGAAGUAAUCGUUGGCGUGACAACUUUAUGAAGACACAAUGAUGGAGAUCAUGGUGUCAUGCCAGUGACGAAGAUGAUCAUGGCGCCCCGAAGAUGGAGAUCAAAGGAGCAAAAUGAUAUUGGCCGUAUCAUGUCACUAUUUGAUUGCAUGUGAUGUUUAUCAUGUUUUGCAUCUUAUUUGCUUAAAACGACGGUAGUAAGUAAGAUGAUCCCUUAUAAUAAUUUCAAGAAAGUGUUCCCCCUAACUGUGCACCGUUGCGAAGGUUCGUUGUUUCGAAGCACCACGUGAUGAUCGGGUGUGAUAGAUUCUAACGUUCGCAUACAACGGGUGUUGACGAGCCUAGCAUGUACAGACAUGGCCUCGGAACACACACAAUACACUUAGGUUGACUUGACGAGCCUAGCAUGUACCGACAUGGCCUCGGAACACGGAGGACCGAAAGGUCGAGCAUGAGUCGUAUAGAAGAUACGAUCAACAUGGAGAUGUUCACCGAUCUUGACUAGUCCGUCUCACGUGAUGAUCAGACACGGCCUAGUUAACUCGGAUCAUGUUUCACUUAGAUGACUAGAGGGAUGUCUAUCUGAGUGGGAGUUCAUUGAAUAAUUUGAUUAGAUGAACUUAAUUAUCAUGAACUUAGUCUAAAAUCUUUACAAUAUGUCUUGUAGAUCAAAUGGCCCACGUUGCCCUCAACUUCAACGCGUUCCUAGAGAAAACCAAGCUGAAAGAUGAUGGCAGCAACUAUACGGACUGGGUCCGGAACCUGAGGAUCAUCCUCAUAGCUGCCAAGAAAGAUUAUGUCCUAGAAGCACCGCUAGGUGAAGCACCCAUCCCAGAGAACCAAGACGUUAUGAACGCUUGGCAAUCACGUGCUGAUGAUUACUCCCUCGUUCAGUGCGGCAUGCUUUACAGCUUAGAACCGGGGCUCCAAAAGCGUUUUGAGAAACAUGGAGCAUAUGAGAUGUUCGAAGAGCUGAAAAUGGUUUUCCAAGCUCAUGCCCGGGUCGAGAGAUAUGAAGUCUCCGACAAGUUCUUUAGUUGUAAAAUGGAGGAAAAUAGUUCUGUCAGUGUGCACAUACUCAGAAUGUCUGGGUUACACAACCGCUUGUCUCAGCUGGGAGUUAAUCUCCCGGAUGACGCGGUCAUUGACAGAAUCCUUCAGUCGCUUCCACCAAGCUACAAGAGCUUUGUGAUGAACUUCAAUAUGCAGGGGAUGGAAAAGACCAUUCCUGAGGUAUAUUCAAUGCUGAAAUCAGCGGAGGUGGAGAUCAAAAAGGAACAUCAAGUGUUGAUGGUGAAUAAAACCACUAAGUUCAAGAAAGGCAAGGGCAAGAAGAACUUCAAGAAGGACGGCAAGGGAGUUGCCGCGCCCGAUAAUCCAGUUGCCGGGAAGAAGUCAAAGAAUGGACCCAAGCCUGAGACUGAGUGCUUUUAUUACAAGGGAAGUGGUCACUGGAAGCGGAACUGCCCCAAAUACUUAGCGGACAAGAAGGCCGGCAACACCAAAGGUAUAUGUGAUAUGCAUGUAAUUGAUGUGUACCUUACCAGUACUCGUAGUAGCUCCUGGGUAUUUGAUACCGGUGCGGUUGCUCAUAUUUGUAACUCAAAACAGGAGCUGCGGAAUAAGCGGAGACUGGCGAAGGACGAGGUGACGAUGCGCGUCGGGAAUGGUUCCAAGGUCGAUGUGAUCGCCGUCGGCACGCUACCUCUACAUUUACCUACGGGAUUAAUUUUAAACCUCAAUAAUUGUUAUUUAGUGCCAGCUUUGAGCAUGAACAUUGUAUCUGGAUCUCGUUUAAUUCGAGAUGGCUACUCAUUUAAAUCCGAGAAUAAUGGUUGUUCUAUUUAUAUGAGAGAUAUGUUUUAUGGUCAUGCCCCGCUGGUCAAUGGUUUAUUCUUAAUGAAUCUCGAACGUGAAGUUACACACAUUCAUAGUGUGAAUACCAAAAGAUGUAAAGUUGAUAACGAUAGUCCCACAUACUUGUGGCACUGGAUAUCGUUAUGUUCUCACUCUCACUGAUGACUUAAGUAGAUAUGGGUAUGUCUACCUAAUGAAACACAAGUCUGAAACCUUUGAAAAGUUCAAGGAAUUUCAGAGUGAGGUUGAGAAUCAACGUGACAGGAAAAUAAAGUUCUUACGAUCAGAUCGUGGUGGAGAAUAUUUAAGUCCCGAAUUUGGUACGCACUUAAGGAAAUGUAGAAUCGUUUCACAACUCACGCCGCCUGGAACACCUCAGCGAAACGGUGUGUCCGAACGUCGUAAUCGCACUCUAUUGGAUAUGGUGCGAUCUAUGAUGUCUCUUACCGAUCUACCGCUCUCAUUUUGGGGCUAUGCUUUAGAGACUGCCGCAUUCACUUUAAAUAGGGCUCCGUCGAAAUCCGUUGAGACGACACCGUAUGAAUUAUGGUUUGGGAAGAAACCUAAGCUGUCGUUUCUAAAAGUUUGGGGAUGCGAUGCUUAUGUCAAGAAACUUCAACCUGAAAAGCUCGAACCCAAGUCGGAAAAAUGCGUCUUCAUAGGAUACCCUAAGGAAACUAUUGGGUAUACCUUCUACCUCAGAUCCGAAGGCAAGAUCUUUGUUGCCAAGAACGGGUCCUUUCUGGAGAAAGAGUUUCUCUCGAAAGAAUUAAGUGGGAGGAAAGUGGAACUUGAUGAGGUGAUAGUCACCCCUUCCGAACCGGAAAGUAGCGCAGCGCGGGAAGAUGUUUCUGUGGUGCUACACCGACUGGGGAGGAAGUUAAUGAUGAUGAUCAUGAAGCUUCGGAUCAAGUUACUGCUGAACUUCGUAGGUCCACAAGGACACGUUCCGCACCAGAGUGGUACGGCAACCCUGUCCUGGAAAUCAUGUUGUUGGACAACGGUGAACCUUCGAACUAUGAAGAAGCGAUGGCGGGCCCGGAUUCCGACAAAUGGCUAGAAGCCGUGAAAUCCGAGAUAGGAUCCAUGUAUGAAAACGAAGUAUGGAAUUUGACUGACUUGCCCGAUGAUCGGCGAGCCAUAGAAAAUAAAUGGAUCUUUAAGAAGAAGACAGACGCGGAUGGUAAGGUGACCAUCUAUAAGGCUCGACUUGUCGCUAAGGGUUAUCGACAAGUUCAAGGGGUUGACUACGAUGAGACUUUCUCACCCGUAGCGAAGCUGAAGUCCGUCCGAAUCAUGUUAGCAAUUGCCGCAUACUAUGAUUAUGAGAUAUGGCAGAUGGACGUCAAAACGGCAUUCCUUAACGGCUUUCUUAAGGAAGAAUUUUAUAUGAUGCAGCUGGAAGGUUUUGUCGAUCCUAAGAAUGCUAAUAAGGUAUGCAAGCUCCAGCGCUCCAUCUAUGGGCUGGUGCAAGCAUCUCGGAGUUGGAACAUUCGUUUUGAUGAGAUGAUCAAAGCGUUUGGGUUUACACAGACUUAUGGAGAAGCCUGUGUUUACAAGAAAGUGAGUGGGAGCUCUGUAGCAUUUCUCAUAUUAUAUGUGGAUGACAUACUAUUGAUGGGAAAUGAUAUAGAAUUCUUGGAAAGUAUAAAGGCCUACUUGAAUAAGUGUUUUUCAAUGAAGGACCUUGGAGAAGCUGCUUAUAUAUUAGGCAUCAAGAUCUAUAGAGAUAGAUCAAGACGCCUCAUUGGUCUUUCACAGAGUACGUACCUUGACAAGAUAUUGAAGAAGUUCAAUAUGGAUCAGUCCAAGAAAGGGUUCUUGCCUGUAUUGCAAGGUGUGCAAUUGAGCACGGCUCAAUGCCCGACCACGGCAGAAGAUAGAGAAAAGAUGAGUGUCAUCCCCUAUGCCUCGGCCAUAGGGUCUAUUAUGUAUGCCAUGCUGUGUACCAGACCUGAUGUAAACCUUGCCGUAAGUUUGGUAGGAAGGUACGAAAGUAAUCCCGGCAUGGAACACUGGACAGCGGUCAAGAAUAUCCUGAAGUACCUGAAGAGGACUAAGGAUAUGUUUCUCGUUUAUGGAGGUGACGAAGAGCUCGUCGUAAAGGGUUACGUCAACGCUAGCUUCGACACAGAUCUGGAUGACUCCAAGUCACAAACCGGAUACGUGUAUAUUUUGAAUGGAGGGGCAGUAAGCUGGUGCAGUUGCAAGCAAAGCGUCGUGGCGGGAUCUACAUGUGAAGCGGAGUACAUGGCGGCCUCAGAGGCAGCACAGGAAGCAGUCUGGAUAAAGGAGUUCAUUACCGACCUAGGGGUGAUUCCCAAUGCGUCGGGCCCGAUGACUCUCUUCUAUGACAACACUGGAGCUAUUGCCCUUGCCAAGGAGCCCAGGUUUCACAGGAAGACCAGGCAUAUCUAGCGUCGCUUCAACUCCAUUCGUGAAAGUGUUCAAAAUGGAGACAUAGAUAUUUGUAAAGUAUAUACGGACCUGAAUGUAGCAGAUCCGUUGACUAAACCUCUCCCUAGAGCAAAACAUGAUCAACACCAGAACUCGGUGUUCGAUUCAUCACAAUGUAACUAGAUUAUUGACUCUAGUACAAGUGGGAGACUGUUGGAAAUAUGCCCUAGAGGCAAUAAUAAAUGGUUAUUAUUAUAUUUCCUUGUUCAUGAUAAUUGUCUAUUGUUCAUGCUAUAAUUGUGUUAUCCGGAAAUCGUAAUACAUGUGUGAAUAGAUAGACCACAACGUGUCCCUAGUAAGCCUCUAGUUGACUAGCUCAUUGAUCAACAGAUAGUCAUGGUUUCCUGACUAUGGACAUUGGAUGUCAUUGAUAACGGGAUCACAUCAUUAGGAGAAUGAUGUGAUGGACAAGACCCAAUCCUAAGCAUAGCACAAAAGAUCGUCUAGUUCGUUUGCUAGAGCUUUUCCAAUGUCAAGUAUCAUUUCCUUAGACCAUGAGAACGUGCAGCUCCCGGAUGCCGUAGGAGUGCUUGGGGUGUGCCAAACGUCACAACGUAACUGGGUGACUAUAAAGGUACACUACGGGUAUCUCCGAAAGUGUCUGUUGAGUUGGCACGGAUCGAGACUGGGAUAUGUCACUCCGUAUGACGGAGAGGUAUCUCUGGGCCCACUCGGUAAUGCAUCAUCAUAAUGAGCUCAAUGUGACUAAGGAGUUAGCCACGGGAUCAUGCAUUACGGUACGAGUAGAGUGACUUGCCGGUAACGAGAUUGAACAAGGUAUUGGGAUACCGACGAUCGAAUCUCGGGCAAGUAACGUACCGAUUGACAAAGGGAAUUGUAUACGGGAUUGAUUGAAUCCUCGACAUCGUGGUUCAUCCGAUGAGAUCAUCGUGGAACAUGUGGGAGCCAACAUGGGUAUCCAUAUCCCGCUGUUGGUUAUUGACCGGAGAGGCGUCUCGGUCAUGUCUACAUGUCUCCCGAACCCGUAGGGUCUACACACUUAAGGUCCGGUGACGCUAGGGUUGUAGAGAUAUUAGUAUGCGGAAACCCGAAAGUUGUUCGGAGUCCCGGAUGAGAUCCCGGACAUCACGAGUAGUUCCGGAAUGGUCCGGAGGUGAAGAAUUAUAUAUAAGAAGUCCAGUUUCGGCCACCGGGAAAGUUUCGGGGUUAUCGGUAUUGUACCGGGACCACCGGAAGGGUCCCGGGGGUCCACCGGGUGGGGCCACCUGUCCCAGAGGGCCCCAUGGGCUGAAGUGGGAGGGGAACCAGCCCCUAGUGGGCUGGGGCGCACCCCUUGGGCCUCCCCCUGCGCCUAGGGUUGGAAACCCUAGGGGUGGGGGCGCCCCACUUGGCUUGGGGGGCAAGCCACCCCCCUUGCCCGCUGCCCCCCCCCCCCGGCCCCUAUAAACAGUGGGGGGGAGGGAGGGCAGCAGCACCACAGCCCCUGGCGCCUCCCUCUCCUCCUGCAACACCUCUCCUCCCCGCUUGCGCUUGGCGAAGCCCUGCCGGGAUCCCCGCUACUUCCACCACCACACCAUCGUGCUGCUGGAUCUCCAUCAACCUCUCCUUCCCCCUUGCUGGAUCAAGAAGGAGGAGACGUCGCUGCUCCGUACGUGUGUUGAACGCGGAGGUGCCGUCCGUUCGACGCUCGGUCAUCGGUGAUUUGGAUCACGGCGAGUACGACUCCAUCAUCCCCGUUCACUUGAACGCUUCCGCUCGCGAUCUACAAGGGUAUGUAGAUUCACUCCUUUCCUCUCGUUGCUAGUAUACUCCAUAGAUGGAUCUUGGUGAUGCGUAGAAAAUUUUAAAAUUCUGCUACGAUCCCCAACAGUAUAUGCUUGUUCUAGCAUAAUGUUGAAUGAUGCAAGUUCUAGAAAAUAGCUAGCAAAUUUUUGUCAUCAUUUCCUUUGACUUUUUUCUUAAUUUUCCUUUUAUUUUGGGUAAUAUACAUGCCCUUAAGUCACUUCACCAUUGAAUAAUAUUUUUUCUUCUAUUUUUAAUUAUGUCUUUCUUAUAGAUGUUUAGUAGAUUUUCCAAGUCAUUGGACUUUUCUCGUGUAUUUGUGCAUGCUAUGAUUUAUUUGAUGUUGCAAUCCCCUAACACUACUUAAUUUUCUGUUAUGAAAUUUAAUUAAAUUCAUUUUCACAAUUUAUGUAAUUAAACCAAUUAAUAUGUUUUACUAUGUCUUUUUACCUAUGCUUAGUUGACUUUUUUGGCCAAUAUAAUUUAUCGUGUCCAAUGUAAUUACAGUAGAUGAACACUAUUUUGGUAGUGUAAGAAUAUUGUAGAAAUUUGAUAUGACCAAUAUAAUUGUGUGAUUUUAAUUAAAACAAUUAGCAUAAUGGUUGCUAAAAGUAUAACACUAGAAUCAAUGUUUUAAUUACUCUUUUCUGCUUCCAUUAAUCUAUAUAAUUAUGUUGUACAUGUGUGCAAGUAAAUACACCUGUCAAUAAUACACCGUGGUGGUUAUACAAUAGUUGACAUGUAUAGUGUGUGGGCAUGCAUAAAGGACACUUUUUAGCUAGUGGAUUGGGUAAUACUAGUACUAGUAGCAUACACUGCUCCAACCAUGCAUAAAACACACUGAGUGAAAUAAACUUUCAGUCAACCGGCGAUACGCUUAUGUUCAUUCCUUUGGAGGCAAAUCAAACAAAGAGGAAAAUUUUGACUGAGAAUAGAAAAAAAUCAGGCGUGUGUCAUAUAGGUGCUCCCAUAUGUAAAUAGUCCUAUUUUUAAAGUUGAGUAAGUCUGAUUUUUUGAUCAUUCAUUCUUAUGUAAGGAUUGAUAUUUUUUUCUUAUGUUGGUUCAUGGCUUCUUAGGUUGAUUUUCGACUUACCUCUGUUUAGGCUAAAUUUUUUUUCUUAGGUCAGAUUUUUUACUUGUCCAUGAAUGGGGUAAGUCUUAUUUUUCUUAGGCUGGAAUUUUUUGCUUGCCCUUGUUUGGGGUAAGUCAAUUCUUUUAUUGGGCUUGAAGCCGUUAUACAUCGCCUUUUUGCAUAUGUUUUGGUUUUCUUUUCUUUAUUUUUAGUUGGUUUUCCUUUUCUUCCUCGGAUUUUUUGACAUCACUUUAGCUGUAUGUAAGUCGACUGAAAAUUGGUUUUUGGCUAGUCGGUUUUUUAGCUAUUGAUUUUUUCUCUUUGAGCCUUGUGCUCACUUUUAUUCUAUUCUAUUCAGUGAGUUGUUGUGGGCUGAGUUUUUUUUACUAACCACAUAUUGGGGCCAGCCAAUUUGUUAACCGGCUGAAGCACAUUACCUGUGUGACCCAACCCUCCCUCUCGCUUUGUUCUUUUCUGUUUUCUGAUUUAUUCUUUUAUUUUUAUUUUCUAUUAGUCUUUUUUCCUUUUGUGGGUACUUUUUGGAAUGCUGGGUGUGUGCAAAUGUAUACACAUAAAUACUACAAAAUAUAUGCAAAAAUACACUAUUAUAUGAUUAUUCCUUGUAUACUAUAAAAAAUGCAAUUUCAGUGCGUAGUUGUGUGUAAGUUUGUUUUCAUUUUGUUUCUUCUUAACGGGUAAUACCAAUGCCACUAAUUAGUUGUUCCUUAUAAAACUUCAUUAUUUUGAUUAUAUUUCUGUUAUUUUUCUUCUUAAUGGGCAAACCAAUGCCAGUAAUUCAUCCUUUUUAGGAAAUUUGUUUGUGCAAACAUUCCACUAUUUUAUGCUUAUUCUUGCAUAUUUGAAAAUACCGCAACUUUUGUGUAAAUUGUGUGUUUUUUCAUUAUUUUUCAUUAUUUUAUUAUUUUCUUUUUUCUUAGAGGGUAAUACCAAUGCCACUAAUAUUUCCUAUCUGAGAAAGCAUAGUUAUUAUGAUUGUUUUCAGAUUUUUUUCAUUUUAUUUCUUCUUAAAUGGUAAUAAAAAAGUCACUAAUCCAUUCUUUCUUAGAAAAACUUCAUUAUGUUGAUUUUUUUUAGUUUUUGUUUCAUUUUUUCUUGAAUGAUAAUACUAAUGCUACUAAUUCAUUCCUUAGGAAACUUCCUUUUUUUGAUAAUUUCACUAUUAUAUGCUUGUCCCUCCAUAUUAUAAAAAAUGCACUUUCUGUGUAAACUGUGUGCAAAAAUUAUCAUUAUUUAUUUUUCUCAUUUUCUUUUUUAAGAAAUGGUAAUAACAAUGUCAUUAAUUCAUUAUUCCUUAGAAAACUUCAUUACUCUAAUUAUAUUUUAGUUUUUAAUUAAUUUUAUUUCUUAUUUAAAGGUAAUACCAAUGCCACUAAUUCAUUCUGUUUUUUGAACUUAUUUUUGUGAAAUUCCACUAUUAUAUAUGGAUUUUUGCAUAUUAUGAAAAUGCGCAGUUUUUGUACAAAUUAUUUAGAAAAAAAUCGUUGUUUGUUUAUUUUUAUUUUAUUUCUUCUUAAAUGGUAAUACCGAUGCCAAUAAUUUAUUCUUUCUUAGAAAACUUUAUUAUUAUUUUUUGUUUAGUUUUAUUUAAUUUUUUGAGUAAUACCAAUGGUUGUAAUUCCUUCCUUCUAAGGAAAAUUCUUUUUUAAUACAAAUUUCAUUGUUAUUUUGCAAAACAAAAUUAUGACAUUGUCUAAUCCCAUAUAUACUUAAGAAGUUCAUCCCCACUAUAGUAUUUAUCUUAACAUGCAACCUAUCCACAUCAGCAAGUCAGCCAAGUCAGCGUUUAACUAUCAGCUUACCGACUACGGAUUAACCAGCGCAUGGAACGGCCAUGUCAGCGUUCAGUUACCAGACUACAGGCUCACCGCCGCUGCUUACACGCGUAUCUCUCCCUGAUUCAACUGGCCAGAGUUAUUUCUCCCGAAAGAAAAGGCCAGGACUUUCUCGGAUCGUGCCUUCCGUUGCUAGCGUACAGAACGGACCAAACGCAUGACGUUCCAUUACCAGACUCAUCAGUUUCCAACCAUAAAGCACGAACUCUUUUAUACCUUCAGAAAAUAAACGAUUGAUCCCUCUCGUGCAGAAAAAAUCACCAAUCUUUUCACCUGUCUACGGUAGGGUGUGGUAGCUCGCUUUAGCUAUACAUCAGUCGAUUGAAAAAAUCAGUUAUGGUCAGUCGAUUUCCUUUUUCCAAUCUGUGUACACACCUACACUUCUGCAUGCAUGCAACUUGCACAUGACGGGUGACGCGGCCGCCGAGAGCAUUAAUGUGGCGUGUUGGUGCAGACUCACUGAGAUCAAUCAGCUAGCUGGCUUUGGUUUGAAUUUAAAGAUAUUUUUAUGAAUUAUAGAGUAAAUGUAUGAGUCCAAAUGAGUUUCUUAUGCCAUUUUUCGGUGUGUUCUUUAUUGUUUUUUUUUCUUUUUCCAGUUUUUCUCUGUGUGUGUGUGUCACCGUGUGUGCACGCGUGUAUGUGGGUUUUGCUUUUGUUUUUGGUUUUCUUUGUUAGUUCAUUUUUAUUUUUGUUUUGUGGGUAUUUUUGGAAUGUUGGUGAGCGGAAAUGUACUGACACAAAUACUAUGCAAUAUGUGUGAAAAUUACACUAUUUUGUGAUUAUUGCAUGCUACAAAAAGUGCAAGUUUAGAACAAAGUUGUGUGGAAGUUUUUUGAAACCUUUUUGUUGUCUUUCUUCCUUAAACGUCAAUACUAUUGCUGCUAAGUAAUUGUUCCCAAUUUUGAUUUUUAUAUUCAUUAUUUCAUUUUCUUUCUUGUUUAAGGGUAAAAACCAAUGCCACUAAUUCAUUCCUUCUUAAUAAUUGUUUUGCGAAAUUCCACUAUUAUUGUAUAUUCUUGCAUAGUAACAAAAAGCAUUUUUUUGUGAAUAUUGCAUGCAAAAUUCGUCGUUGUUCUUUUUAAAUUUUUCCUUCUCCUUAAAGGGUAAUACCAAUGCCACUAAUUUAUUCUUCCUUAGAAAACUUUAUUAUUUUGAUUUUGUUUAAGUUUCUAUUACAUUUAUUUCUUCUUUAAGGGAUACCAAUGCCUCGAAUGCAUUCCUUCUUAGGAAUCUUUUUAAUGGAAUUUUGCUAUUAUAUGACUAUUCUUGCAUAUUAUUAAAGCGCCAUUUAUGUGCAAACCGUGUGCAAAUUUUGUCAUUUUUUUUGCAUUUCUUUCAUCUUAAAGGUCUCUUGGUAAUACUGAUGCUACUAAUUCAUUCUCUUAGAAACUUCAGUAUUGUUUAUUUCGUUUUAGUUUUAUUUUCAUUCUUUCCUUUUGAAGGGUAGUACCAGUGACACUAAUUCAUGCCUUCUUUUGUGCAAAAUUUCAUAAUUAUAUGUUUAUUCUUUCGUAUUAUAGAAAACAUAAGUUCGGCAUUAAAUUGUGCAUUAAUUUUAUUGACAAAAUUUCGUAGUUCCAUUUCUAGUAAUUCAUUAUUUCUUACACCCUCCGGUCGGAAAUAAGUGUCACAGUUUGAACUAAGGUUGGAGAGAGUAGAAAACUUCAUUAUUACGUUUUGGAAAUGUACAUGCCAUGGAUCAAAUACCAAUUCAACUUUCAUUCAUUCUUUAGAAAACUUUUUUUUUGCAAAAAAAAAAACACUACUAUAUCUUUACUCUUGCAUAUUUUAACGAAGCGCAAUUCCUGUGUAAACUGUGUGCAAAUUUUGGGGGUUUAGUUUUUAUUUUAUAUUCUUUCUUUUUUAUGAGUAAUACUCAUUUAUGCUUCGUCUAGAAACUCGACUAUUUAACUUUGUUUUAUAGUUUUUUUCAUUUUGUUUCUUAUGAAAGGGUAGUACUAAUGCCAAUAAUUUAUUCUCCCUUAGAAGACUUUAUUAUUAUGAUUUUGUUCUAGUUUUUUAUGUUCUUUCUUUUGAAAGACUAAUACCAAUGCAAGUAAUUCAGUCUUCUAUAGAAAGCUUCAUUAUUAUUUUUAGUUUUAUUUAAUUUCCUUUCUUCUGGAAGGGUAUACCAAUGCCACUAAUUCAUUCUUCCCUAGAUAACUUCAUUUUCUUUCAUUUUCUUUCUUCUGAAAUGGUAAUACCAAUUCCACUAACUUAUUCUUUCUUAGAAAAAAUCAUAUUUAAUUUUGUUUCUUCUUUAAGGGUAAUAUCAAUGCCCCUGAUUCAUUCCCGCUCAGAAUUUUUUUUGUGACAAUUUCCCCAUUAUAUGCUUAUUCUUGCAUAUUAUAAAAAUGCGCAAUUUCUAUAUAAAUUAUGUGCAAUUUUUCAUUCUUUGUUUUAUCAAUUUUCUUUUUAUUUAUUCUUAGAAAAGUUUGUUAUUUUGAUUUGCUUUUAUUUCAUUUUCUUUAUUCCUUAAUGAUAAUACCAUUGUCACUAAUUCAUUCCUUGUGAGGAAUCUUCCUUUUAUGAGAAAAUACCACUACUAUAUGCUUAUUUUUGCGUAUUAUAAAAAAAGCACAAUUUGUGUGCAAAUUUUGUAUUUAUUUUAUUAUUAUUCUUUAUUCUUUAAAAGGUAAUACCAAUGACACAAAUUGUAUUUGCUUUUUUUUGUUUACAUACGCAUAUACGUCGAUGGGGAGUACUAUAUUUAUUUUUGACGUAAAUAACUUUAUUUCUCAAAUGAUAGUGAGGUCGUUUACAACAAGUUGAGAAAUAAAGUCCGGGAUUGAGCUAUCCCAAAACUCUGAGAGUCUACUAGAGAGGGAGUAUUUAGCUAUACAAUCAGCUACUUCAUUUGCUUCCCGUAGGCAAGCAAUGAUUUCAUAAUGAGCAACAUCUAAUCCCAACUCUUUUCCUUCAAAUACAGUAGCUGAAUCUUGUCCCGAUUAUUCUUCCAUACUAAACGCUUGGACCGCAUUAUAGCAAUCAGAUUCUAUCUGGAAAGUAUUGCAACCGAUCUUAGAGGCAAGAUAGAAGCCAUUACGGAUGGCCAUUAUCUCCGCAGAUUCUGUUGCUGUCACAUGCGGUAUAAACCAGCUAGCUGCAACAAUGAACUCACCGCACUCAUCCCGUGCAAUAGCCCCCGUUCCUCCAUUCAUAUUCUCAUAACAAAAGGACGCAUCCACGUUUAUCUUCACUACUCCCCUUCCCGGUUUCUGCCACAUGUGAUCACGCUUUCUUAUGGGCUGAUUCAGUGCGAGUGAACGGUAAAAGUUCGUGGCCAGGACUCGGAUUGAAACAGUUGUCCGAUCCGGUGGUGGGAUGUGUAUCUCCUUUACUUUCUGUCUCCUCUGCCACCAUAUGUACCAGCUAGCCACUGCCAUUAGCUCUGCCAUCGGUACGCCCUCUGUGCUUUCAUCUUUAUACAUUAGAGUGCUCAUCGUGAAUGAACCCGAUCUGUCCUGUAGAGCUGCGUUUUGAAUCUCAGUUUUUAAGCCGAGUUUCUCCCAAAUCUCCAAGGCUCAAGGACAUUGGAAUAAACAAUCUUGCGUGUCUUCAUAACCAAUCCGGCAGACCGGACACUGCCCGGAUACUGGUAUAUGACGCCCUGCAAGGGUUCCAAAACAUGGUAGCACUCCUCGGAUAACUUUCCACACAAAGUGCUUGAUCUUACCAGGUACUCGAAGAGCCCAAACAUGCUUCCAUAUAUCCUGUUCUCGGCUCCGUUGUGGAUAAGACAGAUCCAUCUGACGCCCAAAUUGAUGUUUAAGUUUUAACUGUGAAGUUUCCAUUCCGGUUAUAAUGCCAUGAAACAAAGUCAUCCAUGAUAUGCACUCUCAGUGGGAUUUGUAGGAUUCUGUACACAUCGACCGGCCAAAAGACAUCGCGAACCAACACCUCAUCCCACUGACCUGUAUGUGGAUCAAUUAACUCUUCCACUGUUGUCAACAUAGUGGAUCCCCGCGGUGUUAUGAUUUUCCGGGACUCACUUGUUGGAACCCAAGGAUCUUGCCAAAUGUUUAUAUGUGAUCCCGUACCCACUCUUCAAAUACAUCCUCGUUUGAACGUUUGAAUCCCAGCAACGAUACUCUGCCACGUAAAGGAGGAUCCCUUCUUCGGCCCUGCAUUCAAUAUGUUUCCAUCUGGAUAGUAUUUAGCACUGAGAACUCGAGCACACAAAGAUUCUGGAUUCUGGAUCAGACACCAACACUGUUUUGCUAAUAAAGCAAGAUUAAAACUGUGAAGGUCUCUAAACCCCAGUCCCCCUUUCCUCUUUGGCGUGCACAAUUUUCACCAUGCAAACCAAUGCAUCCAUUUCUUCUCCUCACUAUCUCCCCACCAAAACCCUGCCAUUUCAUCUGUUAUUGCCUAAAUUUCUUUUGGCAAUUUAAAAACUGACAUAGCAUAUGAGGGGAUUGAUUGGGCCACUGCUUUCAACAAAAUUUCAUUUCCUUGUGCAGAAAGUAUUUCUCCUUCCACCCUUUAAUUCUCUGACAAAUUCGGUCAAUCAAGUGCUGAAAACAAUCACUUCUGUCCACACCUACAAUUGUAGGAAGACCAAGGUAUUUGUCAAAUAGUGCUUCUGUUAAAAUGUCAAGGGUCCUGCAUACAUCUUCCCUGACGGCAACAUUUGUAUUGGGGCUGAAAAAACACUUGAUUUUGCCGUACUGACAAGCUGUCCAGAGCUUGCACAAUAUACAUCUAAAACCCUCCUCAAAGCAUUUGCAUUCUGUGUAUUGGCCUUCAUAAGAAUGAGAGAAUGGGAGUACUGUAUUUAUAUGGAGCUGUCUGCCCGUGUAUGCAUGCACCUGUAAACAGUAAUUAAGUUAAUGUACGAGUUGCUUAGGCAUUGACGCGGCAACAUGCAGGAGAAUAGCUGUUGCAUGCAUCAGCUCUUAGAGCAUCUCCAACAGGCGCGCUAAACAAGCGCCGCGCCGCAAAUUUAGCCAGUUUAGCGCGCGCAACCCGGUGGGUAGCUCCAGCGAGCGCGCAAUAACCGCGCGCGCGGUAUAAGGAGUUGGGCGCGCGGUUGGAUUCGCUAUCUCGCGCGGUGUAUUUGGGGCGCCCGUUUCCGCACGCGGCACACUCGAGCGCUCGCGCUGCACUCUCUCUUCUCCGCCUCCUACGCCCCGCGCGCGCCGGCGCCGGCGAACUGCACCCCAUGGACGCACGCGCCGGCACCCCGCUCACCCCAUCCUAUAGCCGCGACCCCUCCACCGCCGCCGCAAACCCUAGCCCGGGUGGCGUUGGCCUCGCCUCCGCCGGAGCUCCUCCGACCAUCGGCCUCGCGCGCGGCCUCUUCAUGCCGCCGCGGAUGACCUCGGCGGCGGGUGGCGUCGCGCCGGCGCCGGCCUGAGCCGCCGCCCCCUCCUCAAAGCUCCCCAAUGCGGCGCAGCCAAAGAAGGGCAAGACGCCGGCGAAGAAAAACAAGGCGGCGGACAGCUCCGGCACCUCGAAGGCGAGGAGGAAGAAGCUUGCAGGGCGUGCGACGGGCGUGGCGGCUACCGAAGCGCCGGCGAGCUCACUCGUUGAGCCGGCGGCCGACGCGCACAACAUGUUCGACGAAAUGCCCCCAAGGUAAAAAAAAAUUCCAACUUUUCAUUUUUUUCGUUAUUUUUUCAAUGCAUUCACAUAUAGAUAGCUUAUUUGCAUUGUUCAAAAAACUUUGUAGUCUCAAUGAUGAUGCAUACAUGUCAGCGAUGGGUGUUGGCUCCAACAAUUCGCAUUGGUCUCAAACCAAUGACAUGCAUUUCGAAGACCAUGAGUUCGAGAUGGACGAGGAGGGUGAGGGCAUUGUCGAUGCACCGAAAGGAAGAGCGGGCAAUUACACCAACGUCGAUGACAUCUUACUAUGCAAUACUUGGUUGCAAGUGUCGAGGGAUCCAUCCGUUGGAGGUGAUCAAAGUAGAGAUGCUUAUUGGGGGCGGAUGAAAGAACACUUUGAUGUUCACAACUUGAGUGGAAUUGACCGCUCCGAGAGAUCACUUCGGUCCCGAUGGUCGACAAUCAACUCGGAUUGUCAAAGGUGGGCGGCCUGUCAAAAGGCGGUUGACAAGUUGAACCCAAGUGGCACAAAUGAGGACGAUAGAGUAAGUGGCAUUUCAUACAUGUUCAUCAUACUUGUUGUUGGUGCUAACUUGCUUUGUUUUCAUGUAGUACAACAUUGCGCAAAACUUGUUCAAAGAAGAGGAGAGGACAACCAAGAAGGGGAAGAUCAAGAAAGGAAGGGUCUUUACCUUGCCCCAUUGCUAUAACGUGUUGAAGGAUGAUGAGAAAUGGAAGAAGCAUGAAGAUUUGGAUGAUUUGCAUUUGAGCAACAAACGCAAGCGAACAAUUAAGUUAGAUGAUGAUGAGGAGGAGGAUGAUGCAUCAAGUGAUGACGGCAAGAGAAGCCCCACACCCAACUCGGUUUCAUACUCGAAGCCAAAGCGACCGGAUGGGUGCAAGAAAGACAAAACCGAAAAGAAGAAGAGGAAAGGAGAUGAUGAGCUCAAAAAUGCUAUGAAAGCUAUUGUGAAGGCAAGAAAAGAAGCCAACGAGGUGAGGAAAAUGGCAAGGAACCAAGAUGCCGCGGCCGAGGAGAGGAGGGUGGCGGCCGAGGAGAGGAAGGUGGCUUUGGAGGAGAGGAAGGUGAGCAAUGAGGAGCGAACUAGAUUGUUGGAAUGGGAGAAGCACUUGUUCUUCUUGGACACAUCUAACCUCAAUGCGGCGCAAAAGGAGUAUGUCAAUCUUGCCCGUGAAGAAGUCUUGAUCCAAAAAAGAGCCAUGGUUCGUGCAAUGGGUGGCGGUGGCCUCGGCGCCAUGGGUGGUGCUGGCCUCGGCGCCAUGGGUGGCGGUGGCCUCGGCGCAAUGGGUGGCGGUGGCCUCGGCGCCAUGGGUGCCAUGGGUGGCUUCGGAGCUACCGUGGGCGGUGCAAUGGGAGGCAUUGCUGGCUUUGGAGCACCCCCCGACGCUAUGGCCACCAUGGGAGGCAUGAGUUUUGCUUCUCUCAUGGGAGGCAUGGGUGCACCUCCGGCCGCCAUGGGCGGAAUGUCUUUCGAUGUGCCUCCUCGCACACAUUCCCAUGAAGAUGCCGUUGAAGAUCUUGCCAACACCGUCGGAGCUUCACGUGAUGCGGUGCGCGAUGAGGAGAGGGAGGAAGAUUCAUCUUCGGAGGCGGAAGAAUCGUCUUCCGAAGAUGAGGACGAGGACGAGGAAUGAUGUGUCUUUCAUUUGUGUAUUGAACUUGAUUUGCAUUUUGAACUUGAUUGGAUGAACUUGUGGGCAUGAACUUUUCUUCAUCAACUUGUUUGUGUGAAAUUUUUUAUGUCAUGUUCGUUGCAUUUUGAAUGUUUCAACUUUAUUUUGUGUUCAAAAUGUCAUAUAUGCAAUGCCCCGGUGAGUCACUCGCGCUGCAUUUUUUGCGCGCGGCUGCUGGAGCCAGCGCUGCGCGCCGCGCCAAAUCAGACGAUGGGCACGUGGCAAAGCAGUUUUUUGCGCGCGGCGCGUUCGGCGCCCGUUGAAGAUGCUCUUACAGCUGCGGCGUUACGUGUUGCCAGUGGUCCCGACCCAAAGAAUUCGUAAACAUGCAAAAGUGACUGACCCAAAAAGUAUAUUCAGGCGAUUGACAUCUAGUCGCUCCCGUGGUAGCUAGGUGCCGAUCUGUGCUCCUCCGGCACCAUGUAUGGAUCGCCUCCGCGGCUCUCCGGGAUUCAAUCAGGCUACGUUCCAUUGCUGGUGCGGUGCCCUGCGUCGUUAUCGAGACGGCGGCCGUGGUGCAAUAUACCUCCCCUCCCAUCUAUGUAUGCCCGCCAAGGUAGAUUCGGCGCCGCUGGGAGGUUUGGGUUCGUUUCCACCGUAACCGGACCGGCCACAGGAUCCGAAGCUGCCUUCCUUUUUGGCCUGCAAGGAACACGUUGGUCGCGAUGCCGAGCAGGUCCUGAGUCAUGGAGUGGACGGCCUUAUUUUUGUCCUGGAAGGAUCGGACGAACAGGCCCUCGGUUUACAGCGGCAGCUCGGAGGAGCGUUCGAUCCAGCUCCUCCGGUGGGGGUUGAACGGGGUGCCGCCCCGGUUGAUUCAGAAACAAGCUUCUACGGUAGCUCCUGGCUCCUGCAGCUGGGGAGGAAACCGUCCAGUGACUCCUUUCUGUCCGUGAUGAGCAUGUUGCAUAAAUUGUUUCAUGCGUCAGGUUAGUGCCGUACUGUUCUGUUCGAUCAUCUGAAUGCUUGCUGAGAUUGGGUUAUAUGUAGGCAUGCAUCUUUUUUUUCGUAUAGCCUGUAGGCGGGCAUCACUUACAGAUAUAGUUGAACGACAACAGGGAUAUACUCCCUCCAUCCCAUAAUAUAAGAGCGUUUUUUACACUAGUGUGGUGUUAAAAACACUCUUAUAUUAUGGGACGGAGGGAGUACUAUCAAGCCAUCAAAGUAUGGCGAUCAUCAUUAACUAGGACCAUCAACUGACAUGCCCGUUAGUUAGACCACGGCGACUUCAUCCCUUCAGUCCUAGAUAGCCUAGAAAGACAUUCUAAUUACGAUUCAUGUCUAUGAUGGUAUUUCCAUUUCUUCAAGAAUUUUCAAUUCAAUUAUCGAGUGAGAUGCAUAUGCCUGCACGAGUUUGCAUGGCCCUACACAAUCCACCUCUACCAAGAUGGGCAAGGUACUACUUUUCUUUCAUGGUUUAUCUCCUGUGGGUCUAGCUGGACAUAGCUAAUAUUGAGUUUGCCUAAAUAAAUCCCAGGGUGCAGGAUGUUUGUACGACCCCACCAAAGAUUGGAAAAGAACUAUAUUUUUUUGUCGGGGAGAGUUUCUUCCUCAGUUUUGCAAAAUAUGUACAAUACUGAACAUGUGUUGGUCUUAGUUAUGUUUUUGACGGAUGCAAUAUUUAGUAAUUCCAUUCAAAGAACUAUUCUAAUUUCCCGUAUAAAAACAUUGUAUUUAAUUUAGUGGAUACGUAAUGAUGCAGUUUGGCAUUGAGUAGAUGUGUUCCUGUUUUCAGUGUUGUUAAAUGUCUUCGGAAUUGGCUAUUUUUAACAUGGUUCCUUUUACUUCCUCUUUCCACAUGGGAGGUAACCUCUUAUGUGAAGAGGAGGUAAGAGGGACCGGUGUUAAAAUUUCCCUUUAGAAUUUCAGUUAUCCCCUUAAUUAACUCUUAUCUAUCUCCUUAGAGGUCUAUGUGUGAUAGCUCCCUGCGCGUGCCGCAAAUAACACCAUGCACAUUAAUCUUUCUCCAGGAUGCAAUGUGGUGGACCAAAUAAUAUUCUACCCCACGCAUCAACUUAUUCAUCAAGGGAGACUCGGAAGAAGUACAUGGAUGCAACUGCAAAGAUGAAGAAUACUACGAGGACCAUUCGUUCAGGUUUAGCAAAUACAUCUUCGAGUACGUUAAGAAGGUCCAUGCAAAAAAAAUUACACUAGGAAAGGAACCGCACAUGUACAAAUAGUUCUCAACGAAGAAGACAUCCACCCUGGCAACUACAAAUAAAUUUAAGGACAUAUUAUGCUUUAUUUAUAUUCAACAAAUACUUAAGACUAUACAUAUGUAUUUUUCGACUUCAGUUAUCAUAUAUUGAUUCAAACAUUUGUAUUAUAUACAACCAAAUGUAUUUUAACCAAUUCCCGCCGCAACGCGCGGGGUAUUAUCUAGUGUACACAUGUUUAUGUGCUAGACUGUGGUUAUUUUGGUGCUCGAUGACAUGCAAUUGCUGGAUGUGCCAAAAGCUUGAGUGGCUAUAUGAUUUACUUUUUCCCACUUUCACCAAGUUAACUAGUCUUAACCUAAAGGUUAAAAUUGGGAUGAUCCUUGAUGGCCAUACUUUGAAUAAUUAGGGACCAACAUUUGGUUUGAGUGAGACUUUUUGUUUAUGUUGCCGGUAGUGGCUUGAAGGUGAAUAAUGUUGAAGCUCUGGUUGGACCCUACCUCCCACUACCAUACCUACUCCAUAGUUCGAAACCCCAAGCACAUCACGUAAGCAAUGUAGUAUCACAUUCUCGCUCUAUUUUCUUACCUAUGUACUACGUGCCUAGAUCAUGCCGACUUAAUCUAUUCAGUUGACUUGUCUGACACAAUCAAAACUACAAAUAUACAAAGUGAAUCUGUAUGUCACUACCAAAACCAAAAAUAUACAAGGUGAACUUGUCUGUAACUACCAAACUCAGAAAUUACCAAACUUCACAUGCAUGUCUCUACUCUGGAACAAACUGUGUCAAUGCCAAAACUAGUAAUAUACAAACUUCACUUGUCUGUCACUUCUCUGGAUCAAACUGUUCUGUCGCUAGCUAAAUGAUGUCCAUUUUCAAUAUUUAAAUCAUCAAUAAACAUAAUACAUGUGUACCAAAUUCAGAAAUAUACAAACUUCACACAAAACUAAAAAUACAAAGUGAACUUGUCUGUCACUACCAAAUUCAGAAAUAUACAAAGGGAACUAGUCUGUCACCACCAAAUUCAGAAAUAUACAAAGUGAACUUGUGUGUCAUUCCAGAAUUCAGACAUAACCAAACUUCACAUGCAUGUCACUACUCUGGAGCAAAAUGUGUUACUACCAAAUUUCAAAAAAUACAAACUUCACUUGCGUGUCACUUCUCUGGAUCAAACUUGUCUGUCACUAGCGAAAUGCAGUCCAUUCAGUUGACUUGUCUGUCAUUACCAAAAUCAGAAAUAUAAAAAAAUCAAGUUCUCUCUCACUACCAAAAAAUAUAUAUACAAAGCAAACUUGCUUGUUACUACCAAAUUAAAAAUAACCAAACUUCACAUCCAUUUCACUACUCUGGAAAAAAUGGUGUCAGUGUCAAACCUUCACUUGUUUGUCGCUUUAUCUGGAUCAAACUAUUUUGUCACUAGCUAAAUGUUGUUCAUUCAGUUGACAUGUCUCUCACUAGCUAAGUUCAUAAAUGGCAUAGCUCUCUCAAUUUCUAAGUUGAUCAAAAUUGAUGUAUGCAGUCCAUUCAUCAAACUUGAUCAUGCCAACUCAAUACAACAAACAAGUCAUAUGGCAGCACAUCAUUAAGCAUAACUUGAUCAUGACUAAUUAAACAUAAUCUGGUUUGGACAACAACUAAUUAAACAUAACUUUAUCAUGACUAAUUAAACAUAUUUGGUCUAGACAGUAACUAAUUAAACAUAACUUCAUCAUGACUAAUUAAACAUAGUCUCGUUUGGCCAGCAACUAAUUAAAUAUAACAUGACUCUAACAAGGCUGAGCAUAUCAUGAUCAAAAAGUUCUUCACAUUGCUGGCAUCAUCUCUUACUACUACAUAAAACUAAACUAAGCUAGUUACUGAAUAAGUUACAGGCUCUUUGACUUCUUCACUUCUUCAAUCCACCAAUUUCCAGGGUCAACCAUAACAUCAAUCCAUAUGUAAAACAAUGCAACUCUUAGUUAAGACAGUUAAAAUUAACAUCACUGAAGGGGAGCGGAAGGGAGGGAGGGAUCAGAAUACCUGCGUUGGGCAUCGGAUGCAGGCCGGAGUGGCACCUACUGCUCGUCGGAAGAGCGUCGGUGGGCUCCAAGCCUCGGAGAGCGGUGGGGGAAGCGGGAAGAGUGACAAGGUAGUUGCAUCCCCCUAGCCUGCAACCUCCUCCUUAGCUGGUUGGUCUAAUUGGUUGGCGGCGACACUAUGACAUCGCCGUCCAGCAUUAUCGCCUGAUUGGCUGGUGCCAACUUCGGCAUGCGCAUGACCACCACAAUGGCCUCCUCCAGAACCGGUGGGUUCUGAAGGUGAGACAUGUACGCCUUCCAAGUUCUAACGAGCCCAAUGCACUGAAUCAUCCCCCUUCGGCUCCAUGGGCGUGUUUGGAUUGCAACCAAUAGCAACCAUACCAAAAGAUUAGCAAGCCCAUAAAAAUUGGUGAGCGUUUGGAUAGCAACCAAAGUUUUGGCUCGCCCCAUGGGCCUACGACUGACUAGUUACGAUUCUUGCCAACGCGAGGGCGGGUAGCUCCGCCAAAAAGUUGGCAACUCCCUCGCCCGCUCUCUCCGUGGGACCUGCUUAACUAUUUCAGUGAUUAACUGGCAAUUUACUCUGAAAACGUAUUUAUUGGUCCGCAUUUAUCGCUCUCCAAUUUCCUAAUCUUCAGGUGGUACAUAGUCCUUUUUUGGCUCAACUAACCGACAGGUGCAUGCGGUAAGAAAAUACUUAUCAAAAAAUUAGCAUUGGUUGUUUAGAUCGACUAUAAUCCGUUGCAAAUCUCACCUAAUUUGUUUAUUAUUACGCCCAGAGCAACCCUAACUCAUACAACUAAUCCUAAAUUUGCCUUUGAUAGGUACAAUGGAUCUAGACCAAACAAGGAUAACUUGCCAACUUUUGGUCAUGCCAAAAAAUUGGUGGGGCUAGCUGGGGCAUAAAUCAAACACACCCAUCGCUCAAUACACUAUCUCGGUUGGAAGGGCUCCUUUCCCAAGCAUCCUCUCCUUCUCCUCCUUCAUGGCAGCCAUCGCAAUCCCGACCAUUCCGCGCAUGACAUGUUCCGGUUAGGAAACGAGGUACAUAUCUGGCGCAGAUUGGAGAGCUUCUCAUCAUCGCCGUUGGCCACAUGCAUCAUCACCGGGAGCUUGAUCAGCGGCAGAGGCUAGAGUUAGGGAUUUGGAGGUGAGCAGGGGAGGCGACGCGACGGAGUGUGGGAGGUGACUUAAGACGAUGUCGGAUAGGUGGGACUAGCAUGGGGGCAUGAGUUUAUUCUGAGAAAUGUGAGGGGCUUCUCCGCAAAAUAGCAAGGCCACCCAAUGGCACGGCAUCACUCCCGUGUGCGACGGACCGUAGAUUUUACGUAUUAUCGUGUAUAGGAAUAGUAUUGGGCCCUAAUUGGAUCAUCAUUUCAGAGCGAUAUACACUUGUAAAAUAUCCAGACCUUCAUCCAUCGUUCUUUUUUUUAACACAGUACAGACACAAGCGCUUAUAUACACGGGCAUACACUCACCCCAAUGAACACAUAAAUGCACACCCUACCCCUAUGAGCACCUCCGAAAGACUGAGCCGGCGUAUCAUCUUGAAAUUUACGAAGUCACCGUAGUCACCUCGUCAUCGACGGGAGCGUCUCCUCCCACUGAAUGCGAAUCGCUGAAAAUCCAGAAAUAAAUGCGAGCAUCAGGACUUGAACCCUGAUGGACUGGGAUACCACAGUCCCUUCAACCAUCCAACCACAGGUUGGUUCGCUCCAUCAAUCGUUCUUUUUCCACGUGGAAAUCACGUUGUGGCCUGUGAAAUACACCUGUAAAAUAAAUACGUGUGUAAAAUGUUACACCCAUAUGAAGCAGAGCCUUGGGGCGAUUUUCAACUACAGGGGUAAACGUGCUAUGCGCCGGAAGCUGAGGGACAAACAUGUCAUUUUCUAGUCGAUUUUCAGACGCGGAUCAUCACAUUCCUUGGGGGAUUGGAUCCAACGGAGAAGUAAAAUGAGGCAAAAGAUCCAUUUUCUCCACAUUCCCCACAUCUUCUUCUCAGUGGCGCCGCUGCCGUUCUCCAUUGUUCCCUCGAUCCCCCCGUCCUCUCUCUCUCUCGCUCGCUCUCCUUGACGCAUCGAGCCUAAUUCCCUCCAUCUGCGGCGGAAGGCCAACAGAUCAAGGUAUCUUUGUAGCAGAGCAAGCUCGCAUCUCAAGUUCUCAACACCUCUCCUCGUCCACUCUUCUUUCCUUGAUAGUGGCGGCGUGCAGUUCAGUGAGAUUAAGGCGUCCAACUCACCGACACGCGUCCAUCAGAAAAAAGAAUCCUUCAUUCUCUCGCCUGCCGCCCUAAACGUGCAGCCGUGAGACCGGCGUCGCCGGAGGCGUCUGCUGCUGCUUAGGAACAGGGUUCCGGUGUGGGGGCACCUGGGUGAUGGUGGCGCCUCUGGCCGCGGGAAGGAUGGAGAGUAGUGGCGCGGCCGCUAGAAACAUUAGUAUUGUUAGAUCUGGCGGAGCGGGUACGGCAGUAGGCAUCCGCCCUCUGCUUGGCACCUCACAAAAUCUAAAGAAUCAAGGCCCGCCUGCUCGGCCAAUGAGUUGCUCUAGUUGGUUACAAAUACACACAGCCUGCCGUUGGCAAUCUUGGGCAGUCUAAUUUAACAAUAUAUGUAAUCAAGAUGGUUAGUUUUUAUGGCUUUGAUGUUCAUCCAGUAUAAUUGGUUCAGAUUACUAUGUUUCAACUUUCAACCUCUCACUCUUGGAGUGGAGCUUCCUCUGUUUAAUUUCAUCUUCAUGCUAAAAAGAAACGGAGGGAGUACUUACUGUUGGGUCUUUAUUUUUUUACCAGAGUGAAAAAGGAUGUGGCUAGCUCUCAUCUAGAUAAGAGUUAACUAACUGUCAUCUACUCGCUCCGUCCGGAAAUACUUGUCAUGAAAAUGAAUAAAAGGAGAUGCAUGUAGAUGUAUUUUAGUUCUAGAUACAUCCUUUUUUGUCCAUUUUAAUGAUAAGUAUUUUCGGACGGAGGGAGUACUAUUUAGUUAAUUAAAUCUCAUCCGCUGACAUCAGUAUAGAUUUAGUACAACUGAAUUAACAUAUGUAUUUUAGUUCAAGUUCUAUGCGCAAGGUUGGUGUCUAUCAGAUCGCUGCCAGUUGCAUACUCCGUUCAUUCCAUAGUGUAGCGCAUAUAGAUUUUCUGAAAAGUCAAACUUAGCAAGCUUUGACCAAGUUUUUAAAGAAACUACUUGCUAGUAAAAUGCAUCAGUAGAUUGUUGCUUGUUUUCUUCUGAAACCGUAUAGUAUAUGCUUGCUUCAUAUGGGACUGGCGUUUCAAAUUCCGGACGACAUGUGAUGAACUGUGCUUUUAGGAAGAGGAGUUUAUAGAAAUAGUGUACACCAUGGUUCAUUUAAGAUUCCAUGUACGUACAGUACUCUUCUAUUGAUAGUAAUUGAUACCAACCUAACUUCGUUUUCUGCAGGAUAUAGCAUAACAUAGUUUGCAGGAUACAUCAUAACAUAUAUGAAGAUGCUUGAAGACGGAGGUCAUACCCUAAACCCGCUACGGCUGCUGUACCAGAUCAAGAGAGCUAAGGCUACCACCGGUCAGACUGGAAUCACGAUGCCGUUGGCGCCUCCUGCACUGACGACGAUUGGGGAAGCAAAUUCCAAGGCCGGCACAUCCCCUGCUAUGAUGUGGGUAGGGACAAUCUUCAUCGUCUGUCUUUCCAUCGGCGGCACCUCGGCCUUGGCAUACACCCUCUACAGCCACCAUUUCUUCCCUGCUGACCGCUCGUGUUGUCUGCUGACUCUCAUAUUAUGGGGGGUCUACGUGGCAGUGGUCGCAGUGGUAAUGGUGUACAUGACCCUGUUCCUGCCGAACGCCCCUGUUGCCCUGCGGGAAGCACUCGUCGACAUUGGUUGGAUUUAUGUCGGUUCACCUGUCAUGGCGAUAGACAUUCUUCUGAUGUUCUUUGGCCAGCCGUGGAUGGUCAUCUCAAUGUUUUACUGUCUCGGCAUUCUGAUUGCUGGCGUCCUUGCCUUCUGGUGGUGGCUUGCUCUCACGUACAGGAAAUGUGCUUAGCCUCACUCCUUUUCUGUAACAGACAUUUCCACUCUGUUCAUUACUUAGUACUCCCUUUUGUAAACUAAUAUAAGAUCUCCUUUUAGGUACUAUUAUUGUAUAUAUAUGUUUGCUUGUGUUCGUGUAUAACUGGUUUAUCUAUUUGUGUUGUUGCCUUAUGUGUCGCCGUAUAAGCUCUCUUUCAUAAGAAAUAGAGAAUAAAAAAAAUUAGCUCUUUGUUCAGAUACUUGCACUGCAACAUAAUCAUAUGCCAAAAGCCGGCGGUACAUGCGAUGAUCCAACUGGUUUCCUCUGAUACAAUAGCUAUAGUGUGUUAUCUAUCUACUAAUACUUCACUCUAAAAAGAUGAGCGAGAAAGAUCCAAACCACCUCAACCGUAAAACCACGUGAUCAAAUGGUCCAAAUCGCCCUGAUAUUAAGCAGCAAUCAUGUUUAUAUAGCACUCAAGUACCCAGCACUGCCACUGAUUACCAUGAUUAGAGCUAAUGUCUCUCCCUAGUAGCCCCUAAGCCACCCCCCGUACGAACCCUCUUCAUCACAACCGGCCGGUCUUUUCACUUGGAGUAAUGAGAGGGAUGUGCCUACCCACACUAAGAUUGAUCGCUUGCCUCGGUGGAUUGGGAGCUCAGUCAUGUGGAUUGCCUUCUUCAGGUGCUCUCUACAAACGUGUCGCACUGUGCACCUUUGCAUCUCUCCAUGCAGGCGCAAGGUGUGGCUAAAAAGCGCUUCCAGAUUGAGCUAUUCUGGCUCAAGUUGGAUGGUUUUGAUGAGGCUCUCAAGGAGGCAUGGGUGUGUGAUCAUGGUAUUGUCGAUCCCUUUAAAUGCCUUGACUCGCUGUUUAGGAAUGCAGUUGCGUAUUUUCAGGCAUGAGGUCAGAGAAAGGUGGGUAACAUCAAGCUUAAGUUGGCUAUUGCAAAACUGGUGAUUCUUAGGUCAGAGGCGGCAAAAGAGUCUUGAUGGUUAGCCUUGAAGAAUAUGGCUAAGACAUACACUCAAAUUGGUGAUGCUUGGGCUGGCCUCUUUGGAAUGAUCUAUCGCAAGGCAAAGGUCCCAGAUUAGAUGGAUUAAGGCAGGGGAUGCAAACUCUAAGCUAUUUUAUGCUACGGCUAAUGGACGGCGUGCAAAAAACUUUAUGCCUUCUAUUAAAAUUGGAGAUGAUAUCAUAACGGAUCAACAGCUCGAGGAGGAAUCCUUUGUGGAGGCUAUGAGUUGCUCAUUGGCAAGGAGGGUUACCGGAGCCACUCUUUGGACUUGGAGGUGCAGGAACUGGAUCUAAAUGGGCUAGAUGACAUUUCAGGGUUGAUGAAAUUUUGGGAGUAGAAAGAGCUACCUCCGGAUAGGGCACCGGGCCUGGAUGGGUUUGUCAGAGCUUUCUACCAAGGCGCUUGGCCUGUGAUCCAGGAUGAAAUUAUGGCUGGCCUUCUGAAGCUCUACGUGGGCCAUGGACGGCGUUUUGCUAAGCUCAACACGACGUUGAUCGCCUUGAUUCCUAAGAAACCUAGCGUGGAGAUGAUCGAGGAUUUCAGGCCAAUAAGUCAUACCCAUAGUUUCCUAAGUAUUUUGCCAAAGCUUUGGCCAAUAGUUUGCGGUGUCGUAUGGGGAUAUUGUUGGUGUGGACCAGUCAGCCUUCAUCAAGGGUAGAAGCUUACACAAUAAUUGCAUGCUUGUUCGACAAGUGGCUAGAAAGUUACACGCACACAAGAUUGAUAGUGUGUUGUUUAAGAUUGACAUUGCUAGGGCUUUUGGCUCUGUGUCAUGGCUUUUCUUGUCCAAGGUUCUGCAGAGUAAAGGGUUCAACAUGAAGUGGUGGGAUAGUUAUCGAUUCUAUUGUUUACCGCGAGCAUCAAGAUCUUGGUGAAUGGGAGUCCUACGAGGAAGAUUUUCUUCGCCCGUGGUCUCAGGCAAGGGGACCCCAUCUACUCUCCUCUUUGUGAUCGCUAUGGAGAUGAUCUCGGUUCUGUUUGUGAAGGCCUCAGAGGCUAGCUUGCUAGGUGUUCUUCCUGGGAUCUCGACGAGGCAGAAGAUUUCAGUCUAUACGGGCGAUGUGGUCAUGUUUUUCAAGCAUUCUUCGUUAGACCUCUUGGUUGUACGCGACAUGCUUGCUCUUUUUGGGGAAGCUUUAGGGACUUCAUGUUAACUUUGGUAAAUAGGCGGUUGUUUAGAUCCGAGGAAAAACUUAUGACAAGAUCCGUGUUGCUAAUACUCUAGGUUGCGAGAUUGCUAUGUUUCUCAUUAAAUAUUUGGGAUUUCAAUUGUCGAUUCAUCCUUUAACUCGUGCCCAGUGGUAUCCGAUGCUGGAUGCGGUGAAGGAAUUUGUUCCAGGCUGGCAACGAGGAUUUCUGCAACACUUGAGUCGUUUGGUGUUGGUUCAGGCAGUCAUUGUGGCGAGGAUAAUGCAUCUCCUGUUGAUCAUGGAUGCGCAUGUUUGGGUUUUCAAAGCCAUGGAGAGUUGGGUGAGGUCGUUCUUUUGGGCUGGAUCAGAUGCGGUUUAGGGAGGCCAGUGUCUUGUUACAUGGAGCAUGGUUGCUAGACGGUAGAAUUCGAUGGAGUGGGCAUUAAGGAUUUGUGGUUGCAGGCGAUUGAUGUGCCGGUUCACUGGGAGUGGCUUUCAGCCUACUAGACCGUGGCAGGACCUCAUGAUGGUUUUCAACAACCUUGUCGCCAUUACUGUGGGAAUAGGAAAAUGGACAUGAUGUAGUUUUUAUUAUGAUAUGAGGCGCUUCAUAGUUCCAGUGGAAUCUUUAUAAUAGAUCUGAUCCUUUUCAAAAGAAAAGAGUGCAAUAUUAUGUUGGAAAUAUGCCCUAGAAGCAAUAAUAUUAUAUUAUUAUAUGUUCAUAUUCAUAAUUAAGUGCUUAUAUUUCAUGUUAUAACUGCUAUGAUCUUGGAAUAUGCGAUUCAGUGGGAAACUCAUAUACACGUGUGAAAUGAUAAACGGACAAAAUAAAGAUUCCUAGUCUCGCCUCUAAGACGACUAGCUCAAGUGUUGUUGGUGAUCACGUUUCCGGAGCUUAGGAUAUCGUUAAGUGUAACGAUAGUCCUAAAAUAACAUUGAGAUUAUGACAUUGGAAGAACGAUCAUAUUGAAUCAACCCAAACUUAUUUGUUAUGAAUUGAGAUAAUAUCGUCUGUAAUCAAUUGUAAUGACAUGGAGUGUUAACAUGUGAUUUUGCUCCAUUGACCAUGAGAGUAUCGUACUCACUUCUUACCGUACGGUCGACUUUCGGGGUCACCGGAAGGGUUUCGGAGAGUAUCGGGUAAUACCAGGUAUUACCGAUAAUUAAUAUAUAGGUGAAAAUAUUACCGGGGCUGUUAAAUUAUAUAUAUUAUGCUCUAGUAAUUGUUAGAGGGAUUUUAUAUCUAAUUUAAUAUCAACGGGUUUUAAAAGGUCAAGUGGUGGAACGCUACUUGGGCCACUUGGACCCAAUUGGAGGUGGCACCCCUUUUCCCACUUGGGAAGGGAGGGGAGGCCGAAUUGUAGGGGGGUUGUCCCUCCCUUGGCCAGCCAAGGUGGAGGGACUUUCCCUCUGCUACUUCUUGAGCCUGCGUUGGUUUUUUCCUUGAAGAGGAAAGGGUGAUGUGGCAAAGUAGAGAUAAGUAUUUCCCUCAGUUAGAGAACCAAGGUAUCAAUCCAAUAGGAGACAAUGCACAAAUCACCAAUACCUGCACAAACAAUCAAACACUUGCAGCCAACGCGAUAAAGGGGUUGUCAAUCCCUUCACGGUCACUUGCAAAAGUGAGAUCUGAUAGAGAUAGAUAAACAAAAGAUAAAAUAUUUUUGGGUUUUUUGGUUUAUAGAUCGGAAAGUAAAAGAUUGCAAAAUAGUAGAUCAGAGACUUAUAUGAUGGAAAAUAGACCUUGGGGCCAUAGGUUUCACUAGAGGCUUCUCUCGAGAUAGCAAAUAAUACGAUGGGUGAACAAAUUACUAUCGAGCAAUUGAUAGAAAAGCGCAAAGUUAUGACGAUAUCUAAGACAUUGAUUAUGAAAUAUAGGCAUCACGUCCGUAUCAAGUAGACCGACUCCUGCCUGCAUCUACUACUAUUACUCCACACAUCGUUCGACUCCUACCUGCAUCUAGAGUAUUAAGUUCAUAAAGAACAGAGUAAGGCAUUAAGUAAGAUGACAUUGUUGGGAAUCGUAGCAUAAUUUAAAAUUUUCCUACGCUCACCAAGAUGCAUCUAUGGAGUCUACUAUCAACGAGGGGAAGGGAGUGCAUCUACAUACCCUUGUAGAUCGCGAGCGGAAGCGUUCCAAUGAACGUGGAUGACGGAGUCGUACUCGCCGUGAUCCAAAUCACCGAUGACCGAGUGCCGAACGUACGGCACCUCCGCGUUCAACACACGUACGGUGCAGCGACGUCUCCUCCUUCUUGAUCCAGCAAGGGGAGAGGAGAGGUUGAUGGAGAUCCAACAGCACGACGGCGUGGUGGUGGAUGCAGCGGCUCUCUGGCAGGGCUUCGCAAGCUUCUGCGAGAGAGAGAGAGGUGUUGCAUGGGAGGAGGGAGGCGCCCAAGGCUUAGAUGUUGCUGCCCUCCCUUCCCCCCACUAUAUAUAGGGCCAAGGGAGAGAGGGGGGCGCAGCCUUGCCCCUUCCUCCAAGGAAGGGUGCGGCCAGGGGGGAGUCCUUCCCCCCCAAGGCACCUCGGAGGUGCCUUCCCCCUUUAGGACUCUCCCUUUUUUUCUUAUCUCUUGCGCAUGGGCCUCUUGGGGCUGGUGCCCUUGGCCCAUAUAGGCCAAGGCGCACCCCUUACAGCCCAUGUGCCCCCCCGGGGCUGGUGGACCCCCUUGGUGGACCCCCGGACCCCUUUCGGCACUCCCGGUACAAUACCGAUAAAGCGCGAAACUUUUCCGGCGACCAAAAUAAGACUUCCCAUAUAUAAAUCUUUACCUCCGGACCAUUCCGGAACCUCUCGUGACGUCCGGGAUCUCAUCCGGGACUCCGAACAACUUUCGGGUUUCCGCAUACAUAUAUCUCUACAACCCUAGCGUCACCGAACCUUAAGUGUGUAGACCCUACGGGUUCGGGAGACAUGCAGACAUGACCGAGACGCCUCUCCGGUCAAUAACCAACAGCGGGAUCUGGAUACCCAUGUUGGCUCCCACAUGUUCCACGAUGAUAUCAUCGGAUGAACCACGGUGUCGAGGAUUCAAUCAAUCCGUAUGCAAUUCCCUUUGUCAAUCGGUAUGUUACUUGCCCGAGAUUCGAUCGUCGGUAUCCCAAUACCUUGUUCAAUCUCGUUACCGGCAAGUCUCUUUACUCGUACCGCAAUGCAUGAUCCCGUGACUAACGCCUUAGUCACAUUGAGCUCAUUAUGAUGAUGCAUUACCGAGUGGGCCCAGAGAAACCUCUCCGUCACACGGAGUGACAAAUCCCAGUCUCGAUCCGUGCCAACCCAACAGACACUUUCGGAGAUACCCGUAAUGCACCUUUAUAGUCACCCAGUUACGUUGUGACGUUUGGCACACCCAAAGCACUCCUACGGUAUCCGGGAGUUGCACGAUCUCAUGGUCUAAGGAAAAGAUACUUGACAUUGGAAAAGCUCUAGCAAACGAAACUACACGAUCUUUUAUGCUAUGCUUAAGUUGGGUCUUGUCCAUCACAUCAUUCUCCUAAUGAUGUGAUCCCGUUAUCAAUGACAUCCAAUGUCCAUAGUCAGGAAACCAUGACUAUCUGUUGAUCAACGAGCUAGUCAACUAGAGGCUUACUAGGGACAGGUUGUGGUCUAUGUAUUCACACAUGUAUUACGAUUUCCGGACAAUACAAUUAUAGCAUGAAUAAUAGACAAUUACCAUGAACAAAGAAAUAUAAUAAUAACCAUUUAUUAUUGCCUCUAGGGCAUAUUUCCAAUAGUCUCCCACUUGCACUAGAGUCAAUAAUCUAGUUCACAUCACCAUGUGAUUAACACUCACUGGUCACAUCACCAUGUGACCAACAUCUAAAGAGUUUACUAGAGUCAACAAUCUAGUUCACAUCACUAUGUGAUUAUCACUCAAUGUGUUCUGGUUUGGUCAUGUUAUGCUUGUGAGAGAGGUUAUUAGUCAACGGGUCUGAACCUUUCAGAACCGUGUGCUUUACGAAUAUCUAUGUCAUCUUGUGGAUGCUACCACGCGCUAUUUGGAGCCAUUUCAAAUAAUUGCUCUACUAUACGAAUCCGGUUUACUACUCAGAGUCAUCCGGAUUAGUGUCAAAGUUCGCAUCGACGUAACCCUUUACGACGAACUCCUUUCCACCUCCAUAAUCGAGAAAAUUCCUUAAUCCACUAGGUACUAAGGAUAAGUUCGACCGCUGUCAUGAGAUCCUUUCCCGGAUCACCAUUGUACCCUCUUGACCAACUCAUGGCAAGGCACACUACAGGUGCGGUACACAGCAUAGCAUACUAUAGAGCCUACGUCUAAAGCAUAGGGGACGACCUUCGUCCUUUCUCUAUCUUCUGCUGUGGUCAGGUCUUGAGUCUCACUCAAUACUCACACCUUGUAACACAGCCAAGAACUCCUUCUUUGCUGAUCUAUUUUGAACUCUUUCAAAAUCAUGUCAAGGUGUGCUGUCUUUUGAAAGUAUCAUCGGGCGUCUUGAUCUAUCUCUAUGGAUCUUGAUGCCCAAUAUGUAAGCAGCUUUAUCCAGGUCUUCCUUUGAAAAACUCCUUUCAAACAACCCUUUAUGCUUUCCAGAAAUUUUACAUCAUUUCGGAUCAACAAUAUGUCAUUCACAUAUACUUAUCAGAAAUGUUGUAGCACUCCCACUCACUUUAUUGUAAAUACAAGUUUCUAACAAACUUUGUAUAAACCCAAAAACUUUGAUCACCCCAUCAAAGCGUAUAUUCUGACUCCGAGAUGCUUGCUCUAAUCCAUGGAAGGAUCGCUGGAGCUAGCAUACCUUUUAGCAUCCUUAGGAUCGACAAAACCUUUCUGAUUGUAUCACAUACAACCUUUCCUUACGAAAACUGGUAAGGAAACUUGUUUUGACAUCCAUCUGCCAGAUUUCAUAAAUGUAGCUAAUGCUAACAUGAUUCCGACGGACCUAAGCAUCGCUACGGAUGAGAAAAACUCAUCGUAGUCAGCUCCUUGAACUUGUGAAAAUACUCUUUGCCACAAGUCGAGCUUCAUAGACGGUAACAUUACCGUCCAUGUCCGUCUUCUUCUUAAAGAUCCAUUUAUCUCAAUGGCUUGCCGAUCAUCGGGCAAGUUCACCAAAGUCCAUGCUUUGUUCUGAUACAUGGAUUCUAUCUCGGAUUUCAUGGCCUCGAGCCAUUCGUCGGAAUAUGGGCCCACCAUCGCUUCUCCAUAGCUCGUAGGUUCAUUGUUGUCUAGCAACAUGACUUCCAAGACAGGAUCACGCAUUACUCUAAAGUAGUGCGCAUCCUCGUCGUCCUACGAGGUUUGGUAGUGACUUGAUCCGAAGUUUCAUGAUCACUAUCAUAAGCUUCCACUUCAAUUGGUGCAGGUGCCACAGGAACAACUUCCUGUGCCCUGCUACAUACUAGUUGAAGCGACGGUUCAAUAACCUUAUCAAGUCUCCACCAUCCUCCCACUCAAUUCUUUCGAGAGAAACUUUUCCUCGAGAAAGGACUCGUUUCUAGAAGCAAUUACUUUUGCUUCCAGAUCUGAAAUAGGAGGUAUACCCAACUGUUUUUGGGUAUUCUAUGAAGAUGCAUUUAUCCGCUUUGGGUUCGAGCUUAUCAGCCUGAAACUUUUUCACAUAAGCAUCGCAGCCCCAAAAUUUUAAGAAACGACAACUUAGGAUUCUAUAAACGGUGUCGUCUCAACGGAAUUGCGUGGUGACCCUUUUAAAGUGAAUGCGGUUGUCUCUAAUGCCUAACCCACAAACGAUAGUGGUAAUUUGAUAAGAAACAUCAUGGUAUGCACCAUAUCCAAUAGGGUGCAGUUAUGAUGUUCGGACACACCAUCACACUAUGGUGUUCCUGGCGGUAUUAAUUGUGAAACACUUUCCACAAUGUCUCAAUUGUGUGCCAAACUCGUAACUCAGAUAUCUCUAUGAUCAUAUCAUAGACAUUUUAUCCUCUUGUCACGACGAUCUUCAACUUCACUCUGAAAUUACUUGAAUCUUUCAAUAAUUCAGACUUGUGUUUCAUCAAGUAAAUACACUCAACAUCUACUCAAAUCAUCUUUGAAGUAAGAACAUAACGAUAUCCACUGCAUGCCUCAGCACUCAUUGGACUGUGUACAUCAAAAUGUAUUACUUCCAAUAAGUUGCUCUCUUGUUCCAUCUUACUGAAAACGAGGACAUUCAGUCAUUUUGCCCAUGUGGUAUGAUUUGCAUGUCUUAAGUGAUUCAUAAUCAAGUGAGUCCAAACGAUCCAUCUGUAUGGAGUUUCUUCAUGCAUAUAUACCAAUAGACAUGGUUCGCAUGUCUCAAUCUUUUCAAAAACGAGUGAGUCCAAAGAUCCAUCUACAUGGAGCUUCUUCAUGCGUUCUAUACCAAUAUGACUCAAGUUGCAGUGCCACAAGUAUGUGGUACUAUCAUUACUAUUUUAUAUCUUUUGGCACGAACAUGUGUAUCACUACGAUCGAGAUUCAUUUUAGGUGCAAGACCAUUGAAGGUAUUAUUCAAAUAAACAGAGUAACCAUUAUUCUCCUUAAAUGAAUAACCGUUUUGCGGUAAACAUAAUCCAAUCAUGUUCAACGCAAACACCAAAUCUCGAUGGUGGAGGGAGCAUGCGAUGCUUGAUCACAUCAACCUUGGAAACACUUCCAACACAUAUCGUCAUCUCACCUUUAGCUAGUCUCCAUUUAUUCCGCAGCUUUUAUUUCGAGUUACUAACACUUAGCAACCGAACCAGUAUCUAAUACCCUGGUGCUUCUAGGAGUACUAGUAAAGUACACAUUCGUAUAACGUAUAUCCAAUAUACUUCUGUCGACCUUGCCUGCCUUCUCAUCUACCAAGUAUCUAGGGUAGUACUGCUUUAGUGACCGUUCCUCUCAUUACAGAAGCACUUAGUCUCGGGUUUGGGUUCAAACUUGGGAUUCUUCACUAGAGCAGCAAACGACUUGCUGUUUCAUGAAGUAUCCCUUUUUCCCUUGCCCUUCUUAAACUAGCGGUUUUACUAACCAUCAACAAUUGAUGCUCCUUCUUGAUUUCUACUCUCGCGGUGUCAAACAUCGCGGAUAGCUCAAGGAUCAUCAUAACCAUCCUUGAUAUGUUAUAGUUCAUCACGAAGCUCUACUAGCUUGGUGGCAGUGACUAUGGAGAACUAUCACUAUCUCAUCUGGGAGAUUAACUCCCACUCGAUUCAAGCGAUUGUGGCACUCAGACAAUCUGAGUACACGCUCAACGGUUGAGCUUUUCUCCCUUAGUUUGCAGGCUUAAGAAACUCGUCAGAGGUCUCAUACCUCUUGACGUGGGCACUAGUCUGAAAACCCAAUUUCAGUCUUCGGAACAUCUCACAUGUUCUGCGACGUUUCAAAAACGUCUUUGGUGCCACAAUUCUAAACCGCACUGAACUAUCACGUAGUCAUCAAAACGUGUAUGUCAGAUGUUUCGUAACAUCUACAGACGACGCCGAGGUUCAGCACACCGAGCGGUGCAUUAAGGACAUAAGCCUUCUAUGUAGCAAUGAGGACAAUCCUCAGUUUACGGACCCAGUCCGCAUAAUUGCUACUACCAACUUUCAACUAAAUUUUCUCUAGGAACAUAUCUUAACCAGUAGAACUAAAGCGCAAGCUAUGACAUAAUUUGCAAAUACCUAUUUGACUAUGUUCAUGAUAAUGAAGUUCAUCUGAUUAUGAACUCCCACUCAGAUAGACAUCCCUCUAGUCAUCUAAGUGAAACAUGAUCCGAGUUCAACUAGGCCGUGUCCGAUCAUCACGUGAGACGGACUAGUCAAGAUCGGUGAACAUCUCCAUGUUGAUCGUAUCUUCUAUACGACUCAUGCUCGACCUUUCGGUCCUCCGUGUUCCGAGGCCAUGUCUGUACAUGCUAGGCUCGUCAAGUCAACCUAAGUGUAUUGCGUGUGUUCCGAGGCCAUGUCUGUACAUGCUAGGCUCGUCAACACCCGUUGUAUUCGAACGUAAGAAUCUAUCACACCCGAUCAUCACGUGGUGCUUCGAAACGACGAACCUUCGCAACGGUGCACAGUUAGGGUGAACACUUUCUUGAAAUUAUUAUAAGGGAUCAUCCUACUUGCUACCGUCGUUCUAAGCAAAUAAGAUGCAAAAACAUGAUAAACAUCACAUGCAAUCAAAUAGUGACAUGAUACGGCCAAUAUCAUUAUGCUCCUUUGAUCUCCAUCUUCGGGGCACCAUGAUCAUCUUCGUCACCGGCAUGACACCAUGAUCUCCAUCAUCAUGAUCUCCAUCAUUGUGUCUUCAUGAAGUCGUCACGCCAACGAUUACUUCUACUUCUAUGGCUAACGCGUUUAGCAACAAAGUAAAGUAAUUUACAUGGCGUUAUUCAAUGACACGCAGGUCAUACAAAAUAAUAAAGACAACUCCUAUGGCUCCUGCCGGUUGUCAUACUCAUCGACAUGCAAGUCGUGAUUCCUAUUACAAGAAUAUGAUCAAUCUCAUACAUCAUAUAUAUCAUUCAUCACAUCUUCUGGACAUAUCACAUCACAUAGCACUUGCUGCAAAAACAAGUUAGACGUCCUCUAAUUGUUGUUGCAAGUUUUUACGUGGUUUGUAGGUUUCUAGCAAGAACGUUUCUUACCUACGUAUGACCACAACGUGAUUUGCCAAUUUCUAUUUACCCUUCAUAAGGACCCUUUUCAUCGAAUCUGUUCCGACUAAAGUAGGAGAGACAGACACCCGCUAGCCACCUUAUCCAACUAGUGCAUGUCAGUCGGUGGAACCUGUCUCACGUAAGAGUACGUGUAAGGUCGGUCCGGGCUGCUUCAUCCUACAAUGCCGUCGAAACAAGAAAAGACUAGUAGCGGCAAGAAGAAUUGGCAAACUCAACGCCCACAACUUCUUUGUGUUCUACUCGUGCAUAGUAACUACGCAUAGACCUGGCUCAUGAUGCCACUGUUGGGAAUCGUAGCAUAAUUUAAAAUUUUCCUACGCUCACCAAGAUGCAUCUAUGGAGUCUACUAUCAACGAGGCGAAGGGAGUGCAUCUACAUACCCUUGUAGAUCGCGAGCGGAAGCGUUCCAAUGAACGUGGAUGACGGAGUCGUACUCGCCGUGAUCCAAAUCACCGAUGACCGAGUGCCGAACGUACGGCACCUCCGCGUUCAACACACGUACGGUGCAGCGACGUCUCCUCCUUCUUGAUCCAGCAAGGGGAGAGGAGAGGUUGAUGGAGAUCCAACAGCACGACGGCGUGGUGGUGGAUGCAGCGGCUCUCUGGCAGGGCUUCGCAAGCUUCUGCGAGAGAGAGAGAGGUGUUGCAUGGGAGGAGGGAGGCGCCCAAGGCUUAGAUGUUGCUGCCCUCCCUUCCCCCCACUAUAUAUAGGGCCAAGGGAGAGAGGGGGGCGCAGCCUUGCCCCUUCCUCCAAGGAAGGGUGCGGCCAGGGGGGAGUCCUUCCCCCCCAAGGCACCUCGGAGGUGCCUUCCCCCUUUAGGACUCUCCCUUUUUUUCUUAUCUCUUGCGCAUGGGCCUCUUGGGGCUGGUGCCUUGGCCCAUAUAGGCCAAGGCGCACCCCUUACAGCCCAUGUGCCCCCCCCGGGGCUGGUGGACCCCCUUGGUGGACCCCCGGACCCCUUUCGGCACUCCCGGUACAAUACCGAUAAAGCGCGAAACUUUUCCGGCGACCAAAAUAAGACUUCCCAUAUAUAAAUCUUUACCUCCGGACCAUUCCGGAACCUCUCGUGACGUCCGGGAUCUCAUCCGGGACUCCGAACAACUUUCGGGUUUCCGCAUACAUAUAUCUCUACAACCCUAGCGUCACCGGACCUUAAGUGUGUAGACCCUACGGGUUCGGGAGACAUGCAGACAUGACCGAGACGCCUCUCCGGUCAAUAACCAAUAGCGGGAUCUGGAUACCCAUGUUGGCUCCCACAUGUUCCACGAUGAUAUCAUCGGAUGAACCACGGUGUCGAGGAUUCAAUCAAUCCGUAUGCAAUUCCCUUUGUCAAUCGGUAUGUUACUUGCCCGAGAUUCGAUCGUNNNNNNNNNNNNNNNNNNNNNNNNNNNNNNNNNNNNNNNNNNNNNNNNNNNNNNNNNNNNNNNNNNNNNNNNNNNNNNNNNNNNNNNNNNNNNNNNNNNNNNNNNNNNNNNNNNNNNNNNNNNNNNNNNNNNNNNNNNNNNNNNNNNNNNNNNNNNNNNNNNNNNNNNNNNNNNNNNNNNNNNNNNNNNNNNNNNNNNNNNNNNNNNNNNNNNNNNNNNNNNNNNNNNNNNNNNNNNNNNNNNNNNNNNNNNNNNNNNNNNNNNNNNNNNNNNNNNNNNNNNNNNNNNNNNNNNNNNNNNNNNNNNNNNNNNNNNNNNNNNNNNNNNNNNNNNNNNNNNNNNNNNNNNNNNNNNNNNNNNNNNNNNNNNNNNNNNNNNNNNNNNNNNNNNNNNNNNNNNNNNNNNNNNNNNNNNNNNNNNNNNNNNNNNNNNNNNNNNNNNNNNNNNNNNNNNNNNNNNNNNNNNNNNNNNNNNNNNNNNNNNNNNNNNNNNNNNNNNNNNNNNNNNNNNNNNNNNNNNNNNNNNNNNNNNNNNNNNNNNNNNNNNNNNNNNNNNNNNNNNNNNNNNNNNNNNNNNNNNNNNNNNNNNNNNNNNNNNNNNNNNNNNNNNNNNNNNNNNNNNNNNNNNNNNNNNNNNNNNNNNNNNNNNNNNNNNNNNNNNNNNNNNNNNNNNNNNNNNNNNNNNNNNNGGAGAUACCCGUAAUGCACCUUUAUAGUCACCCAGUUACGUUGUGACGUUUGGCACACCCAAAGCACUCCUACGGUAUCCGGGAGUUGCACGAUCUCAUGGUCUAAGGAAAAGAUACUUGACAUUGGAAAAGCUCUAGCAAACGAAACUACACGAUCUUUUAUGCUAUGCUUAGGAUUGGGUCUUGUCCAUCACAUCAUUCUCCUAAUGAUGUGAUCCCGUUAUCAAUGACAUCCAAUGUCCAUAGUCAGGAAACCAUGACUAUCUGUUGAUCAACGAGCUAGUCAACUAGAGGCUUACUAGGGACAGGUUGUGGUCUAUGUAUUCACACAUGUAUUACGAUUUCCGGACAAUACAAUUAUAGCAUGAAUAAUAGACAAUUACCAUGAACAAAGAAAUAUAAUAAUAACCAUUUAUUAUUGCCUCUAGGGCAUAUUUCCAACAGACAUGAUGUAGAGGAAUAAACUCAAACAAUAUGAUGUAAACCCCAUCUUUUUAUCGUCGAUGGCAAAAAUACAAUACGUGCCUCGCUACCCCUACUAUCACUGGGUGAGGACACCGCAAGAUUGAACCCAAAGUUAAGCACUUCUUCCAUUGCAAGAAAAACCAAUCUAGUUGGCCAAACUAAACUGAUAGUUCGAAGAGAAUUACAAAGAUAUCAAAUCAUGCAUAAAAGAAUUCAGAGAAGAUUCAAAUAAUAUUCAUAGAUAAGCUGAUCAUAAAUCCACAAUUCAUCGGAUCUCGACAAACACACCGCAAAAGAAGAUUACAUCGGAUAGAUCUCCAAGAACAUCGAGGAGAACAUGGUAUUGAGAAUCAAAGAGAGAGAAGAAACCAUCUAGCUACUAGCUAUGGACCCGUAGGUCUGUGGUAAACUACUCAUGCAUCAUCGAAAGGGCAAUAGAGUUGAUGUAGAUGCCCUCCGUGAUCGAAUCCCCCUCUGGCAGGAUGCCGGAAAAGGCCCCAAGAUGGGAUCUCACGGCAACAGAAGGUUGUGGCAGUGGAAAGUGUUUUUGUGGAUGCUUCUGGUGGUUUGGGGAUAUAUGUGAAUAUAUAGGAGGCAGAAUUAGGUCAGGGGAGUCACGAGGGGCCCACAAGGCAGGGGGUGCGCCCUCCCCCCUUGUCGCCGCCUCGUGGCUCUUCUGACUUGAUCUUCAAGUCUCCGGGGUGUCUUCUGGUCCAAGAAAAAUCAUCGAGAAGGUUUAAUUCCGUUUGGACUCCAUUUGGUAUUCCUUUUCUGCGAAGCUCAAAAACAAGGAAAAAACAGAAACUGGCACUGGGCUCUAUGUUAGUAAGUUAGUCUCAAAAAUAAUAUAAAAUAGCAUAUUAAUGCAUAUGAAACAUCCAAAACAGAUAAUAUAAUAGCAUGGAAUAAUAAAAAAUUAUAGAUACGUUGGGGACGUAUCACCCUCCCCUUGUGGCGCCCCUCCUCUCCCCUCCAACCUAUAUAUACUAGAGAAUUUCCACCCAUUGGACACAAGUUUUGGAGCCUCCUCUAGUUCAUCUAGCCCUAGUUCUAGUUGGUCCUAGUUGACUAAUUAGAGCUUGAUUUAGUUCCUCUAAUCCUCAUAAUAAAAAGCCCGGUGUGGUUCUAAUCUCCUUCCUUUAAUUCUCCGACGACGAUUAGCUCUGGACGGCGAAGCGCUACCGGAUCGUGAAAGCUGCACGCUUGCAAUCAAGUAGAGAGGCUGUGUUUUUGGUCUUCGGUUCGAGAGACUGUUCAUGGGUGGUUCGCGGGGUCGUUCAUCGCCGGUUCGAGGGCUCCAAGUACGAUCUACACCGACACGUUCUUCUUCCGCUGCAACUUGGUGACGGUAACGAUCAUGAUCACAACCCGUUAUGCAUCUUCAUAUUGAUCUUGGGUGUGCGUAAGCGUGACUUUUUUUUCUACUACGUUUCCUAACAUAUUGUACAAUAGAGUUAAGAACAAGAAGAGACAACAUUAUGUACAAACAUAAUGGUCUAAAUAGCUCUAUUGAAAAAUCAACAUGGAUCAAUCCUCUCCUCAGACUUGGGCUUCUCUCCAUUGGACUAGUUCGUUGUAGGUUUUUUCAUGGAGUGGCAUUACUAUCAGACUUUUUUUAUCCCUUAAAAAAAUUCGGCUAAAUGGCUCCCAAGCUCAUCUGCUCCUCCACAUGAACAGUAAAAUCAAAAGAAAUGAUAUAAAAAUUUAAAGAAAUCUGAUUUUUUUUUUGCAUGGAAGAAGGUCUAAUGCGUGACGUGCCAAAUUUCAGCUCAUUUGCAUGUUUGAGCAGCUCUCAGCAAAAAAACAAAAUUGGGGUCUAUGAAAAAGUUUACUGUUUUGCAUUGUUCGGGACAUAUAUUGUUAAUUUUGCUGAGAGCAGCUCAGAUGUCCAAAUGAGUUGAAAUUUGCCGCGGACCUCACGCACUAAAAUAUCUUUCACGCAAAAAAAAAUCUGGAAUUUUUUGAAUUUUUAAGCAUUUGUUUCGAUUUUACUGUUCACCGAGAUCAAAUGAGAUCUGGAGCCGAAAUGGAUAUUCGUUAAUAUUUCCUUUUUGAGGAUCACCGCAUUUCUCUUUUUAUUAAGGUCAUCCAUGAGGUUAGCAUGAGAACUGAACUCCAUUUCUUUUUCUCAUCACUGACUAUUGAUUAUUUCACAGCUGGUAAAAAAAGGAUUAUUUCACAAAUGACUUCGUAGAUACUUAUCAAGCCACACACUGUCAAAUAUGCAACAGUUCGACAGGUACACCCCGCUGCUGCUUCACCGUUUUAGAUUCAAUUGCAACUUGCAAACCACAACCUUAAAACACAUAGCAAACAGGUAUGAGAACCCUAUUCGGCCCGCUAGUUAGCGACCGAGAUCGUAACCCCCACCCACCCCCCAGCCGCUAGGUACAAUUUGGGUGGGCCCACAAGCUCUUUUCCGUUUUGGGAAGGUCCUAGAACCUUCCCAAUCCGGUUUUUCUUUUUUUGUGCGUGUUUUUUUUCUUUCGGUUUUUAUGUGCUUUCUUCAUUUUCAUUUUCGCCUUUUCUUUCUUUUUGUUUUUUUCUCAAGUUCGUUUUUUCUUUGAUUUUUUGUUAUGAUUUUAUUUCUUAUAAAUUUUUCUUCAUUUUAAUUUUUUUUCAAAACCAUGAAAUUUUUGAAAUCAUCAACUUUUUUCUAUUUCAUGAUCAUUUUUAUGAAGUCGAGAACAUUUUUUUAAUUUGUGAAAAAUAUAAAAUCGAGAAAAAAAAUGAAUACGCAAAAAAUGAAACUCAUGAAUUUUAUUUUGAAUCAACAAAAAUAAUUGAAAUUGGGGAACAAGUUUCAAAAUUCAUGAACGUUUUGAUGAAUAUUUUUUAAAUGCAUGACCAUUUUUAGAAUUGAUGAUUUUUUUUUGUAAUUCACGAAUAUUGUUUGAUGUUUUUUAGAGAAUCACGAACAUUUUUUUUAAUUCCUGAAAAUGUGUUCAAAUUCAUGUGCAUACACGAUUUUUUUUCAAAAUCAUGAACUUUUUUUAUGUACGGAUAUUUUCUUUCAAAAUAAUGACAUGUUUUGAAUAUGCGAACAUUGUUUUUUAAUCUAUGGACAUUUUAUGAUUUCCUGAACAUUUCAAAAAUAGAAUUUUUAAAAUAUGGAACUUUUUUUAGAUCCCAAAUUAUUUAAAGAAAAGACAAAACAAUGAAAUGAGAGAAAACAGGGUGGUUACACAUGGGUCGGCCCAAAAAGGGCGUGCGGGAGAAGGGGGGCUAUUUCGCGAUUGCCUAAUGCCAAAUAGGAGGUCUCAACAACAUGUGCUCAGACACAAACAAACCUGGUUUAUUCCGAAACUACAUAGGAAAGCUUUAUUGACUGUUCAAAAAUAUUUACCCUGACGAAAAUAUAAAUGCGCUAUUAACUUAAAUAUUCCACUACAUGAAAACUUGCCGCGCAGGUUACAGCAUGUCCACACAAGGUCUGGUCGACAUCCACCGACUGAGCACAAUAUCAAUUUGAUCUUCACAUGUGCGGCUCCCAAUUACAUGGUUAGGCUAUGUUGUGUCGCAGCGAUCGUGUUCACCGUCACAUACCAUCCCGACUAUGGAGGCCCCGCUGCCUCCACCACUGUAUGGAUCCUUCCGCUGGCCGUUUAAACUAGUCAGGUCGACCGACGUGCCCGCCCGAAAUUUAGGGAGUUUGGAACGGGUAGAUGGUGGUGAAAAGGGUUGAUUUUGUUUUUGUUUGAACCAGCCUGGCGGAAACAUUGUGAUUUGUAUUGCUGCACCAAUUCUUGUACUAGUUGCCAAUUUUUUUUGAUAAUAUUGAAUUACAACUAUAUGAUAGUUUUAUUUGCCACUUCAAAAUUGGAUUGUCGUCAAACUAGCUUUAUAUGUAUAUACACAUUUUACGUUUCGAUACUCCCUCCGUUUUUAAAUAUAAGACCUUUUAGAUAUUUCAACACGGACUACAUAAACAUAUAUAUAAACAUACUUUGAAGUGUAGAUUCAUUCAUUUUGCUUCGUAUGUAGUAUGUAUUGGGAUCUCUAAAAGAACUUAUAUUUAAGAACGGAUGGAGUACCUAAUAUCUUGGUGGAUGAUUCCAAAGUGCAGAAGCAGCUGUCUUGGUGCACCCUAAUCAGUACUUCUAGAUUGUACUAGUGUCUAAUGUAGAUUCACUUCCAUCUAUUAUAUCAGAAAACAUCAAAAGAAGAUACGAUAAUAUGUGCUCUCUUUUGUGCCUCUAUGAUUGAAGUACUUAAACAUAAUAGGCGAAGGUUUAUAAAGUGCGUGCAUGUUACCUAGAUGCAAAAAAAAAUUUAGAAAAGGAGGAUGACCCCCGGCCUUUGCAUCUAGGAGAUACAUGCGGCCAUUUUAUUGAUUAUAUUCUCGAAGACCUUACAAAGUAGAACAACAAUAAACCUGAAUCCACCAUCUUGGCAACAUCUGCCGCUACUCCUAUCCAAAUGAUGAAGGGGUGCAAGCUGGACCACAUACCCAGACCUCUCACCUAAACCUAACAUCUAAAGCCGGAGGCUCCGCCCGAGCCAUCUACCGGGUCCGGGGCUCAAAUCGGUCCGACGUACUCACAUGUGUCGUUGCCGCCAUCUUUCACUGGUCCAGCUUCAGAGCAGAUUGAGGUGACAACCUUGGCAGGUCCUCUGUCAUCGACGCCACCACGACGCCAAACGACGACCUCCACCUACGCGAGCCUUGGCAGGUCCACCGCCAUUGACGCCACCACGACGCCAGACGACAACCUCCAACUACGCGAGUCCAUCUCCAAGCAACAAACGUAAAUCCAUGCUAGGAUAGAGUCGCACCACCACCGUCACCCACCACCGACAAGCGCCACCCAACCCCAAGGUUUCCAAAGCGGCGCCUUCAAGAAGGGAACGGCGCCGUGAGCGCCGUCGCCGCCCAACAAAGUUAGGGCUUUCGCCCGGGAGACCUAGUGGAAGGUGAAGUAAGGAGAUCAGUCCAUACCGACGCCUCCAAGGAGGAGAACGGCACCCUCAGUCGUCGCCGUCGGCGCGGCCGGUCAUGGCCGGCCAGGGAUUUCGUCCGAACUAGAUCCCCGCCACCACCAGCGCCUCCUGUACAGAACCGGCGACCAAGAGGAAGCGCGGCCCGACCAGGUUGGCCCGCACGCCGAACAGGAGAGGAGGGGAGGCGCCAGAUCGCGCGCACUGACCGCCGCAGAAGCCGCCGCCGGCCGCCAACAACCACCGGAUCCCGCCGCCUGCGCGGCCGGGACACUAGAUCCACCGCCCACACGGCUGCUAGCCGGUCGUGCCUUGCCAAUGGAGCCGCCGCUCCAGAUCCGGGGUUCCCCACGCAGAAGUAGGGCAACCGAGGCCCCGCCGCCACCAUCCUUGGCGCCCCGGGCUUGCCCGGCGGCUGCCUCAGGCGGCGGCGGGGAAGGGAAGAGGAGGAGGAGCGGCUAGGGUUGGGAGGAGGAGGGGCGGACGAGGGUUGGGAGGAGGAGGAGGGUUGGACACCGUAGAUCAAAAUAAGUGUCGUUCACCCCAGAUGCAAAAUGUUUGAACAUUUUUUGAAUCACAACUCUUAGGUGGCAUGUGCAAACUUGUUGUGAAAGGGGGGGUCUGCUUAGAUGAAUACAUUUGACGACUCCUCUUACCCAUACCUCAUUGCGCGGGCGAAACAAAUCCCUCCAGGAAAAAGGGUGCACGCGAAGACAUGUGCACAUUUGCGAGAAUAAACAACCAACAAGUGAAAGGCAAAUGAACAUACAAAUCAUGGGAUUAUCCAUGGAACAGAGUACAUGUGGAGGGAUGCUCGCGGAAAGUUUCAAGCCAAGUGACAUUACAACAUGGUGAGUCACCCCAAAGCUAAAUGAAGGUGCCACCUACUCCUAUGUUACAAAAAUGUCACAAAGUUACAUCAAGUAGUGUGGCAUGUCGGCAAAAAAGGCAUGCAAGUAAAGGUGUUACGUCAAAGCCAUGCAAGGAGGGAAAUAGGCAACUAACACUCCAUUCGAGGGAGCUCCGAUGACUCGCCUCGGUCACGGGCAGAUCUUUCUAGAUGUAGCAAGAUGGUAAAUGUCAUGCAAUAGAAACUUGCGUUGCGCGCGAGGCAGGGGCCUUCUCCCAUGCCGUCAAAAUGGCAUAUCCAGCAAAUAUGCGUGUGUGAUACGUGAGCUACAGCGUGGCUAUCCACGGUAUGAAUGUACAUCGUCAUGGCACGACCUACUUGGCACACCUCUGAAGAAAGAAUCGUGCUCGCCUCCAUCACCAUCUUGCACGGAGCAAGUGUCGCCGACACUUUAGUUUAACUAAGACAUCUUGGAAACCAGAAGCAUGGGUUAGGAGGACAUCUCUCGUCGUCCGAGACUCAGAGUAGGGUGUCGAAUCCCCCAUAGAAGUAGAUGCGCGAGCCUCCAACUCAACUACUCUCACCCCAGCAUAAACAUCUCUCCAUUAGCCCAAGUCACCUUGAACUUCAAUGCGGACACCUCGUCCUUGGCAAAACCGACCUUCGUCACCUAACUUUGGGCUUCUUCACUACAAAGAAGAACACUCCACUUCAUAGGCUCUAACUCCUUCGUCAAUGUGACUCACCUUGGACAAACCUUGAGUAAGAUGCUGCACCAAGGCCUCGUGUGUCUCAUAGCACGAUGCCACCUCAGUGGCAAGCUCACAAUGCAUGUUGGAGAGAGAUGACUCCACUCCAUGCAAGUUUGCCUUGGCCUUGUCACGGUGGUAUGUCCUGAAUACCCACUUGGACUCGACAAGAUCCUUCUCAGACUUCUCCAUACUUAAGUUAGUAUAGAAAUACUCUACUUGGUCCUGCAUGAUGGGGAUUAUUUCCACAUGGGGAGCAAGUUCCGCAACGCGCACCCGCCCGAGCAUGUUCUUCUUUCACCUAGUUUUAGGAAAGCGAAUGUUCCACUCCGGCUUUUUUCAUUAUUUCUUUCAUUUUUUGUUUCUUCUUUUCUAUUCAUGAAUAUUUUUCAAAUUUAUGAAUAUUUAUUUAAUUCAUGAACACUUUUCAAACUAGUGAGUUUUUCCUUAUUUGUCAACGUUUUUGAAUCACGGAUGUUUUUCUACUUUGUGAUUUUUCUCAAAAGUCGUGAACAUUUUCAAUAGCUCGUGAACGAGUUUUUAAAUUCAUGAUUUUUUUAACAAAAAUCAUGAAAAAGCUAUAAGCCGAUGAACAUCUUUAGAACUAAGGAUUUUUCAAAAAUCUAUGAACUUUUUUCUUUCACGACUAUUUUUAUAAAACCAAAAAAAAAUCAUUGAUCUUUUUUUUCCGUGAGCUAGCCGAGAAAAAUAAAAUGGGCGAGCCAAUGACGAGGCCCAAUGCGCGUUUUAGGGCAUUUUGGGGAGCGCUAAAUAGGAGAAAAGUACAUUGGCAAAAAAAGGAGAAAAACACCCUGGCAACCCAUGCCCAGGUUAUAGCCGUACCACAAAAAUGGUACACGCACGGGCUCAUUACACCCUCUGUUUUUUCUAAUCUCAACAAGGCUGGCUUGGGUGCGGUGGCUCUGGAUCAUGAGGGGCAAUGCACCCUCUCGCGUGCUCCGGGCCCCCUUUUGGAGAUUUCGAUCCAGAGAUGGCGGAAGCCUUAGCGCUUCGUCGUGCGGUCUUUCUGGCUAGAGAUGAACAUUUCACGCAUGUGACUUUUGCCUCUGACUGUUUCUCUUUGGUGCAACGAAUCAAUUCUAAUAUCCGGGACCGUCCGAAUGUGGGCUCUGUGGUUAUGGAUAUCAAACAAGCCGCCCUAGCUUUCACAUCUUCGACCCUCAAGCAUGUUCGUCGGUAUUGUAAUUUAGUGGCCCAUAUUUUGGCCAACUCUUGUAAGAGUUUUAUAGUUUGUUCUCUAUUUCGCACUCUACUCCGGAUUGUAUCCGGAAGACCUUGUAUGACUUUAUUACUUAAUCAAAUCAAUGAAAUGCCGACAUUUUUUCAAAAAAAAAAAAACUUGCACCCUCUGCCCACCGUUUCAAAAAAAAAAAAAAAAACUCCCGCAGAUGAAUCCGAAUAUUCCUCUCAUGGUUCGGAUGCCUACGCUCUUUCCCCUUGGCCACAACCACAAAUGCUUGCUGUAGCUGUCCUAGAUCCCUUCCCUCCCCAUCGGUCCAUCUCCAUCGCUCUCUCCUCUUCUACCUCGCCGGCCAGCCUUCUCCUUGGAUCUCGUCGCAGCACGGCAACGGCAACGGCAAUGGUGGUCUCGUACACGCAGGAGCACGUGUACCUCCACCCCUGGCACCGGGUCACCGCGGCGGCGUGGCGCAAGUUCACCGACCCGGCGGCGCUCUCCCACAUCCUGGACGUGCAGACGCUGUCCCGGGACGUCGACCCGCGCGCCGGCCGGCUCCACGCCGUGCGGGCCAUCGCGGGCCGGCCCCCGCCGCUCCCGCUCCUCCUCCGCGGCCUCGCGGCCACCGCCGGCGCCGGCGACGUGGUGCUCUGCGUGGAGCGCACCUCCGUGGACGCGGCCGCGCGCGCCAUGCGGGUGGUCUCCCGCAACGCCACGUUCCGGCGGCUGGUGGACGUGGAGGAGCGGUGCAGCUACGCGCCCCACCCGGAGCGGCCGGACGAGUGGACGGUGUUCACGCAGGAGACGAGCAUCCGGUGCGCGCCGCUGGCGGCCGUGUCGGCCACGGUGGCCGAGAUGGUGGAGCGGCGGUGCGCCGAGAGCUUCGCGCAGAACGCCGCCAGGGGGCAGGAGGUCGUCGAGAGGAUCUGCGACGGCCUCGCGCUCGCCGGCCGCGUGCCAGGACCCUCCCCUGCCGACGGAGAAGAACCGUAGAGACAGAGCACUGCGCAGAGCAUGCUCGCUCUCUGUUAUUUACUGAUGUGUAAAUACUGGCUGGGAGGCAAUAAGAAGUGAAAUUCUGUAAAUUCACGGUAUCCAUUGAUCAAAUUGCUCGACAUGUCAUGUUCUUGGCAGCUUCCACCGUGAUGUUGAGUUCGGAUUCGGUGGCAAGAGCUGCACCAAUCAGCACAUGUGGGUCAAAUCAUCGUCACAGGUGUUCUCUCAGAGAGGGUAAAAAUCUCAGUGCUCAGAGGGAGCAGUGGUCGUGAGUUCGUGAUGACCGGGAGGAGAAACUAGAGGUUUCUUGUGGUGCGCCGCGUGUUGCCCCGGCGCCCGUGCUAAGUGGCCGGCUGUGACACUGAACAGCCGUGGCGGCGACCAGAUGGCACCACACCACACACGCGCUAGGAGAAGAUUCAGGAUCGCCGCGUCUACUCCAGUAAAACCUGCCCGAAAGACCUGAGCCGCGUCCUGUCCGAACGAGAGCAGCAGGUGCGGCCAGUGCUGUUGGAUUACUACCACUGAAUGAAUGUAGGCGAGCCGAAAGGCGAUUCUACUACUUUACAAGAUAUUUCUGCCUUUUGGGACACAUAUGUUCGGUCCCAGCCAGCCAGCCAUAUGAUCCUCGCAUCAAGAUAUCGCUAGUGGCAUGUACGACUCGGUGUUGGUGACGUGUCGCACGAUUAACAAUCCAGAUGUGCACAUCAAGGGGCCGGUCGGACGUUCUCCGGUCCUCAUGCACUCGAAGCUAAGCUAGGAUAUUAUUCGUCGACAGAAAACGGCCUGCUAGAGAAUCCACCUCCUUGACGUGUCGGCCAAUCGAGCCGUGUACGUGUCAGCUUCCUUCUAGACAUGCGCCAGCCUCUCAAAGGAAAUGUUGCGUACGUGGCACGCGGCACUUCAUCAUUACACUAAGCUACUAGAAUUAAGCAAGUGACGCAACGAGCCAAUCCACCACGUACUCCAGAAAAACACCGGUUUGAGUUGAAUUAAGCUAGAACCUUAGCAAAUCAAAUGAUGCUACGAACCAAUCAACCAUGUCUAGUACGAAAAAACACCGGUUUGCGUUUGGGUGGUGGGCGGUCGGGAGGUGCUGCGGACCGGUCAAGACGCUGUCGGCAGCGUGCACAUUUAAUCAUCGUCGUCACGGGCACGGCCGCCUCCCAACCUCUGCAAUUAGCAUAGCAUAGACAGGCACCAGCCGUGUGAUUAGCCGUCCGCGGAAAUGAAACGGCCGCCGAAUUUCAGCUCGCCGCGAUGCGACCUUGGCUUGGUGCGGCCGCUGUCCCCGGGCCGGCCGGGAGAAUCUGCUUGCUCGCUUAUCCAGUUCGCUGCUGUUGGGCUGUCUGUUCCUGAUUGGCCGCCGCGCCCUACCGACCGAAUUCAGCACCAGAAGACUAGCUAAUGGAAGUAUUUUUUUUUUCACUUAAAAAAAGUUUGUAGCAGCUAGCCCGAAUGCGUAUGGGAAAUGGCCCGGCCGUGCGGUUGGAGCUAUCCACGAGUUUGCCGUGUCGACACCCGAAUUGGAUCGUACAGGACGCGUAACUGAGUAUUCUCGCUUAGCGAUAUUUUCUAUUAGCACACAAGAAGAUAAACGAAUGGGCGAGAGAUGAAGAGAGGAGCCGCCGUGCUAAUCCGGACAGCUCAGAGGCGGACAAGGACGGGGCGCCCAUCCAGCUUCCCUUAAUUUUAUCCCGAGCCUGGCCGCAACGUGCGGGCUAUGGUAUGGUAUGGUAUGGUAUGGUGGUGCGUAGAUGGAAGAAGCCGCGACGACGCCUUCCAAGUUCCAACCCCCAGGCCCGGACAAGCCGACGCGCCCGAUGGUUUGGCCCGGUGGUUUCGUCCCAAAUUCCCAGCCAUCUCCUCGCUCGCUUUCGGCCGCCAUACUAGUCAGCUUCGGGCGGCGGCUACUUGCUCCCCCACACGGCGCGGCCGUGCGGGUCCAACCAGCACACGACACACACGGCCCGUCCGUGCACCCGAAGCGCCAGCCCCCAACCCGACCUGACCAUCCUACCCCUCCUCCGCCCCGCACCCACGCAACGCGGCUAUGCACGGCCACGACGCACGUACCCCAACGUCCCUCUGGAUCCAGCCCAGUUGACCCUUCCGCCUCCCGCGGCCACGGGCACGUUUCUUCCGUGGACGGGGAGGGAGAGCCCAAACGGGCGUCCUUUACCGGCCCGCACCACAGCCGUCGCUUUUCGGGGGCGGCCACUGACCUGACCGAAACGGAGGGCAGCGUCGCCCAUUUACGCGAGCCCCCGGGUGACGCAAGGCCAAAACCGGAAAUCCCAACCCAGGACGCGGAGGGGGAGACGGCAGCUGGGCAGGUCGUUAUCGCCUCCUCCAGGGAGCGCGUCCCCGUCUCUCUCCCGCCCGAGCCCCCGAUAAAAAGGGCCCCCAUCUCCCCUCCAUUCCACACCCACGCCCAUCCAAUUCUCCUCUCCUCGACCUCCCGAUCUCUCCCAGACCACCCACCUCCCGGCCGCCGCCGAGGACGCCCGGACCUCCCGGCCGGCAGCAAACCAACCAGCCACCUCGUGCGUGUUUGAAAAAUCAUGGCGCAGCGGGAUCACAAGCAGGAGGAGCCCACGGAGCUGCGGGCGC
rnacentral:lncRNA from 1 species